UUUAUCUGCCGGCGUGAGGAUCCCAGGGCCAGGGCUGCCAGUUAGGACGUUCGCGCUGGAUUGACAAGACUGGCUUGACUUGGCCCUGGACUCGCCCUCCACUCUUCCUCCUCUGGGAGAGGAGAGCCGGGUGGGGAAAACAGGCGGCUGUUUGCAUUAUGCAUCAGGGUCGCACGCCUAGGAGGAGGAGCCGAUUCUCACCCCGGGAAAGGGGAGGGGAGGAGAGCGAUUAAUAGGCUUCCUUCCUGCUGUCAGUUGAUUUCUAAAGCCUAGGGUCAAGCCGAGGUUUGACUUUUCCCUUUGAGGACCUGCACUGUGCUUUUCAGCUACCCAAUUUUCCUCUUAGAGCACGGGAGGAGGAAGCUUAAAAGGCUGAAACAGUCUCCCCAAGAGUCUCCCAAAUCUUUUACAGACCUCAAAUAGUCCUACUGACCAAGUGGAGGUUUUCAUUAAAGUGUCUUCGAAGAAAAUCCUCCAGUUUCACUUGGUAAAACUUGCCGCAACUUCCCCCAUAACUCCGAACGCGCACCACCCUCGCGAGGUGCUCGCCCUGAGCAGCUUUUAUCUGAUUUUCCACGCCACGCACAGCAUCAGCAACGCCUGGCCCAUCAGCAGAGACACCUGGGUGAACCGGGCGGGCACGUGAAUCACAGGUCCUGCUACGUGCUGUUUGAGGCAGCCCUGUUUACAGGUACCUUGUAAAACCAGGGAGGGAAGGGUAUUGUGAUCCGUAUAAGUUAGCUCUUAACACUAGAGCACUUCAGGAGUUUUCUGUGCUUGUCAAAGAGAAAUCUGAGACAGAGAUGUGGACCACAGAACCAAGCAAGUGGUGGUGGCCAAGAAUUAAUUUGGAAAAGCAAAAGAUUUUAAUGCCCCAUCUGUAACAUCUGUGCGUUCUGCCUCUCAGGACUAUGUGAGAGGGUAGCUUUGCUCACAGUUAUCCUGUGCUCAUUGGUUAGCUAAGACAGGUGUUUUGAUUCACCUGAAAUUCUGGUCAGCUGAAAAUUUUCAUGCACGUCACAUAACACGCUGACAUUUUUGAUAGCAAAGAUAUUCUCAUUCCUCUGUAGAAAGCUUUGUAUUUUUCCAAAGGUUUUCCACUUUCCCAAUUUGAUUCUCACAAAAUUCCUUGGACCUAAAUAUCUCAUUUCUUAGUUCAAUACGGUGGCUUUUUUUCCCUACAAAGCUUACAAAGAGAGAGGAGAUGUCCAUAUAAUGCUUGAUAUUAAAAUAUGGUCCUGCUAGUUAACAAAAAAACAGUUGAUUUUCAAAUGGUAAUUCAAAAGACACUUCAGAAUCUUACAGAACUUUGAGAGUAACCAUUUUGAGGUGAGGGGAAAAACCUGGAUUUAAACCCAGGCAGUGUGGUUACCUAGAUGAGUGAGCAGACAGUAAUUUAACUUUUUGAAAUGCAGUUUUCUCAUUUGUGAAAUGGGGAACUCUCCCUCUUAAAUAUUUAUAAUGCAGUAAUGCCUAUAAAGCAUUUUUACACAGUGCCUGGCAUAUAUUGCAGCUUAGGAGAUUUUAACUCAUUAUUUUACACAUAAAUUAUUGCACAGCAUGAAAAUUGAGGUUUUAAGUUUCUAGAUUUCUAGCUUUUCACUUUUUAGAUAAAGAGGAGCCUAUUUCACAGCAGUUCUUUGAGUUUCUAAAGAGAGACCUCACUAAGCACAUGAAAAAUAAACCCAUCCUGGAGUUUAUCAAAACUGAUCACUUUNNNNNNNNNNNNNNNNNNNNNNNNNNNNNNNNNNNNNNNNNNNNNNNNNNNNNCAUAUAAUGCUUGAUAUUAAAAUAUGGUCCUGCUAGUUAACAAAAAAACAGUUGAUUUUCAAAUGGUAAUUCAAAAGACACUUCAGAAUCUUACAGAACUUUGAGAGUAACCAUUUUGAGGUGAGGGGAAAAACCUGGAUUUAAACCCAGGCAGUGUGGUUACCUAGAUGAGUGAGCAGGCAGUAAUUUAACUUUUUGAAAUGCAGUUUUCUCAUUUGUGAAAUGGGGAACUCUCCCUCUUAAAUAUUUAUAAUGCAGUAAUGCCUAUAAAGCAUUUUUACACAGUGCCUGGCAUAUAUUGCAGCUCAGGAGAUUUUAACUCAUUAUUUUACACAUAAAUUAUUGCACAGCAUGAAAAUUGAGGUUUUAGGUUUCUAGAUUUCUAGCUUUUCACUUUUUAGAUAAAGAGGAGCCUAUUUCACAGCAGUUCUUUGAGUUUCUAAAGAGAGACCUCACUAAGCACAUGAAAAAUAAACCCAUCCUGGAGUUUAUCAAAACUGAUCACUUUAAAUUGUGCCAGAAAAGUGCUUGAUCCCAUCUUGGAAGGGAAAGGUCAUCUUUCAGGCAGAAGGUUCCAUAUUUAUUUUCUUAACAGUUACUCUGUUUUGAAAACUUGCCAUUUUUUUUUUCUCAUCUUGUUUUGUUUUGCUACUAUUGCAUUACGGAUACUGGUUCUAUAUAGAGCAUGGUAUAAGAGAUUAGUUAUUGGCUUCGUUAAAUAGUACUUACUGAGCCACGUGUGUGGACAUGUAGCCUUUCAAGAAAAGUAAUGCAGGCUACAAAAAGAUUUAAAAAAAAAAAAAAAAAAACCCAGAGCCAUGUCCAUUAUAUGAAACUGUGUGGCACAAAAUUGUGUCAGAGCUGCUUAUUUUUGGUCCUCUAUGCCCAGCACCUAUGAGGAGGAGGGGCUAGAUACUCUGCAGAGAAACUCCAGAUUUGCCUGGGGAGGAAUCUUAUGGGUGGGUGAUCAGCAUUUCUGCAAGAAGUGAGCAACUGAGACACCUUUUAAAACCCUUUGGCUGCAGGCCUGGAAUGUCAACCCAUUGGUAGCUACUGACAGCAGACAUUAAUUGUUGAGAUGAGAGAGGGAGGAGCUUGGGCCAGAAUGCAGAGCCUAGCGGAAGGAGCUGUGGAGGACCAUAUAUGGAUUCCAGUUACUGAAAAGUUAAACAGUCCUGCAAAAGACAAAUUGCAUUUGCUCAGGCUGCAGGCUGGGAGAUGCUAGUAAGUGCCUAGGCUGCAUGUGGUAGUCUUAGGUUUUCUGUCCUCAUACCUAUGCUCUCUCCAGGACCUCCCAGACCCAUGCGAGCCCAGUUCAUCUGCACCAUCACCUCAUCUAUGAACCCCUGGUGUGAGAGAACCUGCCCCUUGCUCCUUCAUAGCCUGUUGCAAAGAUUAAUGAUAUGGACCUAAAUGCUCCUGGGGGGAGGUGCUGUGUGGAUGUCUUUUCAGUAAUGUUUUCCAUAUAGACCUGUCAGCUGCCCUGAAACAAACCAGAGAUGGGAAAGCUACACAAUUCACCAGCAUGUCCUAGGGGCUUGGGGCUGUGCCCAGGGCUCUUAGAGCAGUCUUUGCUACAGGUUAGAUUCCCCUGUGGAACUGAUAUUGUUAAGAAGUAACUGCUAAAUGUUGCCUGGGGGUGGCUGAGAUUGGCUGGCUGGAAGAUAGAAACCAGUAUUCAAAAAUAAAGGGGGGAGGGGCUGAGGAUAUAACUCAGUGUGGUACGGUGAUUUUUAGCAAGCAUAAGGCCCUGAGUUGAUUCCCAACAUCAUGGGGGGAAAAAGAGAAAAUAAAAAAUUAGACCACAGGGUAGGUUCUGAAAGCACUUCAACAUCUUUAUGUAUAGUCUUAGAAAAGAAAGAUCAACAAAAAAGAUAACAUGCUAUAAAGAACAGACUACACUAAUUGGGACAUUUAAUUUCCCAAAUAUUUAAUUUUCCUUAUAAAAAAUAUUUGUGGUGACUCACAAAAAUACACUAAUUUUUAGUGCUUGCAUAUAAAAUAGGGCAGUUCAGGCAAAGGAAAAAUCAAGAUUGAAUAAUAAAGCCAAAGUAGCAUUCAAGUCCUGUGCUAUGUUUAAAGCAGAUCACAAAUCAGUUUUCAGAUUCUCAGAAGACAGUUCAGGACAAUUGCAUGAUGAGUUAUAAAAGUCCAUGUAACCAUAAGCAAAGGCCUAUCAACUACUUUUUUAAAAUGACAGAUGUUUCCUGCUGUUCUCCCUAACAUGUAGCAACAGUCUCCUGUCUUUAAGGUAAAGGCCUUUCAUAGAAUCAAGAUUCAACAAGGGUAAGCCAAGUUCACGCUGUACUGCAAGGGAUCGACAUGAUAAGAUGGACCCCAAAUCAUCAGGUGACAGAGAUAGCUUCCUCCAGUUUCAGUUUUGAUUGACAUACAGCCAGGUCUGCUUAGAGAAUUAGGGCUACAUCUUAAAAGUGUUGGAGUGUGCCAGUCCCCAAGCCAGUGUGAAGGAUAGCUUGAGGCAAGAAGAAUCAAAAUGUUCUUAGUACAGUAAAUGGGUUGGAAAGCCCUGGUUUGGAGGUGUGUCCCUUACCUCUGCACUAAGACAGCCUUAGCUUUAACUUGCACAAGUUCUGAAUGUUGUUGAAGGUGUGGGUCUCUGGAAUUUUCUCCCAAGACAGGAAGAAAUGUUUCACACAGUCACACAAUUUGUGCCCGAUUUUGAAGUAAAAGCAACUUUUAAAGAUUAGUCAGCUUUAUGUACAGAUAUGCAACUUUUAGGGGGGAAAAAUGCAAACAAUACAGAAAGAGGAACUUCUUGCUCCUUGGUUGCAUGUCUCAAGAAUAUGAAGAAAAAUGACAUGCUUUGGAUGUCACAUUUGUUCCUGAAAGUUCUAACACACACACACACACACACACACACACACACACACACACUGUGUCCCAGUCUAGAAGUCUAGGGCUUCUCCUGAAGGAAAAUCUUUUGCAAUAAUAGGGGUGAGCGGAUAGGAGUCAGCAGUCUCCUUGGCCAAUCAGAUGUGUAGGAUCACACCUGGGAUUUUUUUGGUUGGAGAAGUCUGUUCUAGACAUAAUUCAAUUCUGCAGUUUGUUUUGCCACUACUGGGGGCUGCAGGACAUUGGCUGGGGUGGCUCCUCUUACAGUCCCCACAAGCAACAAUAAGGAAGAACAAGGGACCUUCAAUGAGGGAGAACUGCUGGCCCCCACUGGGCAGUCUCUGGUCUAGAUAUUGGUGUUCGACUUAUUUCAGGAUUUGUGAGUUGAUUCCUUUAAGUGUCUGUCAUUCAUCAUCUCCUUCUUUUUAUAGAACUAACCCUGUUUCUAUUCUUUAAGUCUAUGAGGAAAAGUGUUAUUUAACACUGAUUGAGAACUGGGAGAGGCUGGGGUUGUAGCUUAGUGGUAGAGCGCUCACCUAGCAUGCACAAGGCACUGGGUUGGAUCCUCAGCACCACAUAAAUGUAAAAUAAAGAUAUUGUGUCCACCUAAACUUAAGAAUAAAUAUUUAAAAAAAAAGAACUGGGAGAACUGAGCUCAAUAAUAUGGUAUCAAGCCAAUUUGAUAGGUAAUAAGAAGGUUGACUUUAACAUUUUUCUGAUAUAAGGCAAGAUAUCUUUUAUGGUAGAAUAAAAAUACCUGUAGCUCAGUGGUAAAGUGUUUGCCUAGCAUGUGUGAGGCACUGGAUUCAAUCAUCAGCAUCACAUUAAGAAAAUAAAAUAAAGAUAUUAUGUGUUCAUCUACAAUUAAAUAAAUAUUUUUAAAAAAGAAUAAAAAUACCUAUAGAACCCAUGCCAUCAAAACAUUUGUACUUAAUAUAAGUAAAAAUACAUUUCCAAUCUGGACAUGUGGAGUUGACCUUACUUCCCUUUUUAAGGAAACAAACUUAAAGAUAUAACAUCAGAAAGUGGAAAGAAACUAGACCUAAAAAUCAAAUUGGCAUAGGCUUGAAAUUAACUUCUACCACUUAAUACUUCUGUGAUGCUGAUCAACUGGGUGACACUUAGAGAGUUUACAAUAGUAUAAAGGGCCCUUGCUACAAAGCCCACAGCCUUCCAGGAGAUCAGUUAGGCUUAAAGAAAACAUAGCUAUCUAUAUUGCAUGGAAAAUUUUCAGGGUUCAGGAUAAAGGUAGCUAGAUUCCAAUAGGAUGUAAAAUACAUUUCUUAACCCAAAAUGGAGGCCUGUUUAUAACAUAAAGCCAGGAAAGCUACAUUCCUGCAAGUUUUUAAUGAUCAUUGGUGAUUUUCCAGGAAUUUGGCACAUAACUACAAAUAUUUAUGAAGGACUUGGUAUGUGCAAACAUUGUUCUAAGCACUUUACAGAUAUUACCUCAUUUAAUCCUCUUGCAAUCUUCUGUCAUUUAUUCUUUUAUUCUCUUUAUUUUAGAAAUGAGAAAACUGAGGCAGUGGUUUUAAUGAAAUGUCUGAGGUGGAGUUUAAAAGCAGUUUUGACCCCCAACCCGUGCUCUCAACCCUACACUAAACUGCCUUUUGGACAAGGGAGCCUCAGGGUAGUUUCCUCCUAGACUAGUAAAAAUACUCUCUCCUAAGACAAUGACUGUAUCCUGUGUUUUUUGUUCAGGGACAAUUUUUUUUUUUUUUUCCUGGAAGGCCCAAGGUUCACUGCUGUUGCCAAUAACCCUGAGAAUCUAUCAUCAUCCAUGCACAGAUACAGUCCUUCUUCUGCAGCUCUGUCAACCAGCUGGACCCAUAAGUUCCCCACUUUGUGUAUUAGCUGACCUCUCUAGCAAAUCUGUGUUCAUUGGACUGGUCCUCGAGGAGGCAGUGAGUGGUGCUAUGGGAAUACAGGCUUGAGAAGGAGGCUAGGUUUCCAAACACUUGGAGUUCCAGUGCCUGUGCACACCAUCCUUCCAGUCCCAUCCCUGGACCUGAAAGAAACCCUUAUCAGGUCUAGAAUGCUCAUGAAGCUCAGAAAUUAUGAAAACAGGGAGAGCAUUUUUGCACUUAUCACAAAGAAAUACCUGGAGAAAAUGGUUUGAGAACUUGAGAGUUCAGCCUCUUCCUUUGGAACCCCUUGAUUAGAAACUGAAAUCCAGAAAGAACAAAGGAGGGUGAAUGGUUUUAAACAAGGUUUGGGACAGAUGGUUGGAGAGCUUUGAAUCUCUCUUUCCUUUCCCCCCAUUCCUACCUGUCCCCCAACAACACACCCACAGGUCCCAAAGGUUGAAGGUUUGUCUGCAGAGAAUGCUUUAGAUCAGCAUGGUUCUGCAUUCUUGAGUCCUGAUCUUUACCAACAAUGCAGAAUCCCCAAGGAAGGCCAGAUAAAGUAAGUUGACUUGGUCUGUUUCGCUUAAUUAGCAUGCAUCCCUUUUUGUUUGUGGUGAAACUGGGUAGUUGUUUACCUUCCUUCUGCCUGAUCAGUGGUGUUGAGACCUGAAUGUAUCUCUUAGAGAUGCUUAUGUGGUUUGGAGCCUCUGAAGAGUGGCAUGAUCAUUCAUCGGAGAGCAAACUGAGUCUUUCUGAAGCUACUUCAAUUCCACCAUCUGUCUGUGGCAUAAUUACAAUGAGCCUGAAAAUCGUGCAUUGGCAUUUGACAUGUAUUUGGCUUCUCGUGUCUCCGUGUCCUGAUAGAGGACUAAUGGCCCCUGAUCCUGCGUGUCUGUAACCUGUCAUUGAACCCUCCAAGUGACCCUCUCUGAAGCCCAGUCCCUCUCAGGCUGGUGUCACCCCUGAACAGUGGCCUGAUGCUGUGUUGGGUCCUUCUCUCUACCUUCUGCCUUCCGCUUGCCUUCGGGUCCUUUCUCUUUUUCAUCUGUCAUCUGGGCUGUCAUUCCUCCCGGGUCCCAAGCUUUCACUUGCUGUCUUUGGCCUUUACUGCCUCCUUUGUUUGCUCUUCCUCUAAGUAGGUCCCUCCCCGUCUGAUGAUCCUGUUUCUUCCUCUAAAUCAUUGGUUAUUGGCUGAUCGACAAUCUGUUACCAGAGGAAAUUUGGCAAUGUCUGGAGACAUUCUUAGGUGUCCCCUCAGGGGCGGGGGUGCCUCACUCACUGGCAACAGGGGCGCCAGAAGCCAGGCCCAGGGCUGCCCCUCCCCCUCGCACAAGGAGGAGCCCAGGUUGAGAAAUCCUGCUCUGAACAGCCCUUAGUCCAUCCCUGCACUCAAUUUUAUUUAUUUAUUUUUUUAAACACCUGUUUCCAAAUCUCAGUUGCUUAACCCCUCCCUCCCCACAUGGCCCUUCGCCUCCUCUCCCAUCUACCCUUAGGGCUCUUUCUUGCCUCCACAGCCUUCUUGAGUCAGCUGCCUUCAGGCCCCUACUUGGUCCCAUCUCCUGCUCCCCAGGCAUCUCCCUCCCCCUCGGCCUUUGUGUUCUGGGCUCAGUUCAGCAGCUACCUUAUCUCUCAGCUGUCCUGGAGUGACCCCAGGAUCUGUGAAAAUAUUUUUCUUAGAAUUCCAUUUAUUUUCCAAGUUUUCACGGAUCCAAAGCAGUCCUUAAGCUCCAUGUUUCUGGUUUCAAAGUCUUUCAAGCAUACCACCUGGGCCUGACCCGUGUGGGUGCUGGCCCUCCGCCCCAUCCUUCCCGCUCCUUCCUGCCGUGCCCCCCUCAGCUGCCAGGUUGCUGGUCCCAGAGGCUGCUCUCCUGCUUUUCUUUGUGAUGAUGACACAUGUGUUUGCUUGCUUUGUUGGCUUGGUGGUACCCGCUCUUCUCCUUCUGCAAGAGAGGGAAGCAAUGUCUUCCCCUACCUUCAUUUACCCUUUAAAAUAACCAGUGGAUAUUGACCAGAUGCUGGGCAGUGCUGGCCAUUGGAGUAACUAGAGUAGAUGAAAGAGAAACUGUCUCCAAACAACUCCAAAUUCUAGAAGAGAGACAAGCAAGAAAAGUAACAAGGUACUGAUGCCCAAACCAGCGCUGCCUGCUAGAAGAGGUCAAGGCUACUGGAGCUGAAGGGGGAGAGCCCUUGUUCCUUAGUUACUGGAACAAGUUACCACAAGUUGAGCAGCUUCCCACAGUGCACAUGUAUCUCACAGCUCUAUAGGUCAGAAGUCCAAAAUCAGUCUAUCUGAGUGAAAAUCAAAGCAUCAGCAGGAUGCAGGAUGGAUUCCUUCUUUUUUUUUUUUUUAAUUAGUUGCUCAUGACAAUACAAUGAUCUUGACAUAUCAUACAUUUGAUUCAAAUGGGGUAUGGAUUCUCAUUUUUCCACGUGUACAGGUUGCAGGAUCACAUUGGUUAUACGGCCACGUAUAUACAUACAGCCAUACUAGUGUCUGUUGUAUUCUGCUGCCCUUCCUAUCCCCCCCUCCCCUCCCCUCCCCUCCCAUCACCUCUCUCUACCCAAUCUACUGUGACACAUUUCUCUCUCUCUCUUUUUGUUUUUCUUCCCCCUCACAUCAUCAAACAUGUAUUUUGUAUAACGAUGAGGGUCUCCUUCCAUCUUCCGUGCAAUUCCCCUUCUCCCUCCCAUUCCCUCCCACUUCUCUUCCCUAUUUAGUGGUAGUCUUCUUCACAGGCUCCACAGGAGGGUCAUUCCUUGAUGUUUAUGGCCUCCCGAGGCUGCCUGCUUCUCAUGACCUCAGCCUCUUCAGCCAGCAGUGUGACACCCUCUAAUCUCUUUUUCUCUGUUGUCCUUGUCACAUCUCCUUCUUGGUCUCUCCUUCCUCCCUUUUUAAAGAAUCCUUGUGAUUACACUGGACCUUCCCCAUAAUCCAGAAAGAUCUUCCCAUCUGAAUAUUCUUAAUCAAACAUGCAAACUCCUUUUGCCAUGUAAGUUUCUGGUAAGAAAGUAGAAUGUGGAUACCUUGGGGGCCAACACCCAGGCUACCAUACACCUCCCAUUGCUUGGGAUGGGGAGGUGACCUCAAGAAAGAGCCCAGUGGAGGCUAAAGAGUAGAGUGAAUCAAGGCUCUGGGACAACAGUCUGACACAGCUGAGACCUGUCAGAAGUUUGACAUGGGGGGGAUGGGAGUGUGUUGGGAGUUAUGUUAGAAAGGAAGGGAGAGGUGAAAUUUGGAGCUUCCCUUGUAGCCCCUGGGAGUCACUGAAGGACUUUGAAAGGUGCUCAGGUGCUGAGUUUCACUUAAAGCUGUGCUGCUCAGUCCGUGAUUCGAGCAACUUGUGGCAGGUGAUCACAGAAAAUAAGGCUAGUCCAAAUAAAGAUGUGUAGUGCAUAUACAAAAUUCCAAAGACAAUAUAAAAAUAUAUAUACAUAAUAUCCUACUGGAUUUUUAUAGAAAUGCUAUUUUGGAUAUAUUGAGUUAAAUACAAUUUAUUAUUAAAAUUGACUUCACCUAUUUCUUUUAUUUUUUAAUGUGGCCAUUGGCAAAUUAAAAUUGCACAUGAGGCUCACAUUACAUUCCUUUGGAUAAUGCUGGUCUAGAAGCUCGGGAGGAAGAUGGAUUGAGGGGUUGAAACUGGAGGGGAAUGGGCUGGACAAGAAGUGACAUGGGCUUUACUGGGACGGAGAAGGGGAGGCACGGGAAUUCUGGGAGGGUCUGGGGCAGGACCAGGUCCCAGCAACAUCUACUCACCAGCGCUGUGGGGAUGAAGCAGGUGGUCUGCAUGUUCCUCCUCAACCCCAGUCCUCGUGGGGCACCUUUUUCAAUCUGACCUGCUCCUUAGAAUUAAGCACCUGGCACACAUUUCCCUCUGUGGGGGCUGGGAGACAUGGGAGUGACACCCUUCUCUGUCAUACUCAAACACUGCCCUUCCUCACAGUCUGUCCACCCUUCCUGCCAGCCACCCACACGUCUCUUCCUUGGCCAGUAUGCAUCCUAGGAUUCGGAGUUAUGUGAGGCCACCUAGUUGUAGCCGUGAAAACCAGCCCCCCUCCACCUUCUCUACAGUUCUCCAGGUGCUCCUCGGGACCUCAUGCCAAUAAAACACUUUUAGGCCAUGUCUGGAUGUGCCCAAAUUUUCUGAGUCUGGUUCCAGGGGACAUUCUUCAUUAAGUUCUCAUACGUAUGCUGAAAGGAAAAAAGCCAUUCUGCAAGGCAGGCAUCGUUACUGCCAAUUUACAAAUAACGCGCAAACACACCGAGGAAGAUUCUGUCACACCCUAGUUGAUACAGUUGGUACUAGAACUUUUACCUCCUGGAUUCCAACUCUGCAUUUUUUGUGUUUUGGGGUUUUUGCUGUUGUUUUCUCAGGAUACUUGUUGGUCCUACCUGGCCCCAUAAUAUUGAAUAACAGUGAAAUUAUGAUGCUUUUCAAGUAUUUUUAAUCAGUGUCUUGAUGUCUAUCAAUCUGAUAUUAUGAACUCUGCUGCUGUUCAAGAACUUUUUGUCAAUCAUUCCUUAAAUGUUUGUGGUAUGAAUGGAUAGUGAAUGAAAAAUUUGUACUGUCUAAAAACACAGGGGAUAUAAAGCAUUAAGAAAAAGUACUCAGAAGGCACUUUCUGAAAGUUCCCUGGGGUGAGAAGUUGUGGCGGGUUAGAGCAGGUUUAUCCACUUCCAGGUUUAUCUAAGACUGCAGGAUGAAAGGAUCCCAUUAAAGAUAAGCAUGGAACUGCUGCUGACCAAGACUGGUUGCCUUACACCACAGAGGGAAGCGCUGAGGCUCUGAGCAGUAGCAUAUUUGUGCUUCAGCCUUCUCAAGGUUGCAGUGCCUGAGUGCAACCAAACCUUAACCUGAACUGAUUAGUACAGGUGCAAACAGAGUAGUGGCAGUCUGGGAUUCAGUAUCCAAUAGAGGGAGGAAAGUUGUGUUAAAGUAGCUUUAGUGCUCUAGAGAGACCCCAGGUGUUAGAGAUGACAAAGGAGCCUGAAGCCUCAUCUAGGAAUUAGUUGCAGUUGAUAGCAACUAAUAACAUAAUGAUUGGGACUCAGAUUCUAGGUCAGGCCAACCUGGCAGGUCACUUAGUCUCUCCACUGUGCCUCUGUUUCCUUAUCAGGAGAAUGGGAAUAAUAGCCAUGUCUUCUUUCAAUGCUUGUGUGAGAAUGGGGUGGUGUGGUGCAUUUAAAGCUCAUAGAGGGGCUGAGGCUGUGGUCCAUAGUAGAGUGCUUACCUGCCUGUGCUAGGCCUGGGGUCAGUCCCCAGCACCAUACGCAUGCACACACACACACACACACGCAUGCAUAGUGUCUGGCACAUAAUAAAUAUUCAACUGUGUGUUAUUCUUGUUAUUAUUAGGAUGCAGUGCUUAAGCAGAGAAUCUUGCCUUAUUAAGCUUCAAAAUAUUUCCAGGUGUUUUUUAAAGAGACAAAAAAAGCUGUUUUCCAAAUCAUACAUAGAACGAGUGAAUGGAUGGGUGCACAAUAAUUGUGAUUUGCAAAAGUUUUUGCAGUUUGCCAUUUUGUCAAGGUAGGUGACGGUGGGGUGCAGCAGUCAUCAGAGACUCCAGAUGCAUCAGGAAGAAGAUCUGGCAGGGGAGCUUUAUGAGCAGCAAAGAAAAUCUGUGGCAGGGCUGGGGGGCCCUCAGGUUCUCUCCUAGCUGCUGCCUUUUUGUCUGGAACUCCACCAUGAAGUGGUCGUUUUCAAUCAGAGCAAGCAGUCCUGAGAGGAGUUUCUUUUAAAGCCAUUAUCGGUCAUCUUUGGCUUAUUAAGAAAGAAGGAUCUGGGAGCUUGAGCCAAGAAAGGAAAGAGCCAGAAAGCUUAUUUAUUUUUCUUGAAACCUCCAGGGUAGAGCUUGCUGGUUGAUGUCUGCAGGCAAUUGGUAUUGAAUGAGUGAGUGAACAAAUGAAUGGUGGGCAGCCCUUCCACGCGGGGAUGCUGCACGGCAAGACGCAGGGAUCUGCGGUGCCCAGUCACCCGUCCCACCCCAGCCAGUCCUCCUAUCUAAGAUCCCUCUUUUACCGAUGAAUGAACUGUGAAGUGAAGUGAUCCAGUUGGACUCAAACGACACUUGGUGGAAUCGGUCACAAGAAUCCAGGCAAACCACAUUGCUGCCCCUCCCUUUCUACCAGCACGAGAGAAAAACCCUCGGAAAAAGACCACUUGUAAUUGGAGAUUCCUGCAUUUGACCUCAAAGCACAAAACACCCAGGACUCUGAUGAGUGGCUGUAUGGCUAGUGACAGCUCCGUAGCUCUGUAUUUAUUUAUUUCUCACUUCUUGCAAAAACACUAUCAACAUUCAAUCACAUCUCAAAGGAAAGGGCCAGAAGGCAAGUGGUUGGAACUACCUCAACCAAACAGUCCUUGCCUGGGAAAGCUAUCUUCUUUCUCUUGGAGCCAAACUGUUGUUCUCAAUGCUGUGAGCAAUUAAUAAAUCAGAGUGGGCUGAGUAGCAUGGUUGCCACGGGAAAUUCUCUACCCAUCAGGUGGCAUCAGACAGCCUCAGCUGAAGUGCAGACACCUGGGAAAGCAGCAUCCGCUGCCCCUGACAGGAGACCUGCACGACAUUAUGGAACUUGGAGCCUGCAGUAACUAUUUUGAGGCUGCCAUUAUUUUUCUUCCAGCAUCAAUUCUCUGAAAUUCAAGGUCAAGAGCUACAUUUGGGGGGUUAUAAGGAAACAGCAGGAUUUGCCAUAAGCCUUCAAAAUGCUAUCAUUCCUGCGAGGGUAACUUCCAUAUGGAAGACUGAAUAUUAGAAAGCUGUUUUUUCUCCUGAGAUCAAAUUGAGACCCAAACACAUUUGAGAACCCUAAUGCUUUCCCCCCAAGCAUUUAUCACCUCAUUUUUUCCCCACAAGAAGGACCUUUUCCCUGUGGCUGUCUGGAUGUCCCUGAGAGGAUUUCCUGUUGGUGAUACCACUAUCUAUGGCCAGGAUGAGGUGCUGGUGCCAGAAUGAGGGUUACACACACAUUCUUUGCAGCUCUGGGAAGUGAAUUUGCUCCCUGUGAGAACACAGAUUGCCUGGUGUCCUCUCAAGGUUGAGCUUGUGCCCCACCAUGUCUCCAAAUCAACUGUUCACUACAUCCCAAGUGCUGUUCAAAUGAUUUGCUAUUCUGUCUAGUCCUCAUACUAAGCCUGGGAGCUAAGGGGUAUUAUUCCAUUUUAUAGACGAAAAAGUAGAGACAUGGGAAGGGCAGUCACUAGUCCAAAGCCACAUGGCCAAAAAGUGGGGGAGCCUGGAAUCCAGCAAACUGCUCUGGAUGAGCCCAUGUUUAGCCACCACCCUGCCUGGCUGGUCCAGCCUCUUAGCUAACGGGGCUGUUCAGCAGAGUCACUGUCUAGGCUUCUCUCCUCAUAGAGAUCUUGUCUGGAUUUCUCACUGUUGUUCCACUCAUAGGUCCAUCUCACUCCAGCCCUGGGAGACCCACAGUGGCCUGAGUCAUGCAGCUGGGCAGCCUUGGGCAUUCCUACAAACGGGCUGUGGGCUUCCCCUAAGCAAGGAGGAAAUGAAUCAGUGGCUCAUUCAGCAUAAUCUCCUGCAGCAAUUUCUUACCAUUCACAAUUAGUUGGCCAAUGGGGUGGUUCAUGUCACCAAGUUUCUAAGAGCAGUCCCUUGUGACCAGGCAGCUCUAGGGAGCUCUGUGACCCGGGCCACGUGUGUGAUUUCAGGUGGCCAUAUUGCAAAUUCAUAGAGCUGAGAGGAAUCUUGUGAGCAAAUUGGAAAUGCAUGGCUGCAAACAUCACCACAACCAGAAGAACAGCUUCAAGGGUGAGCAGAGGCAAGGGGUGUACAUGCAAGCCAAAGAAGGACGUGUUACUCCACAGUUUACAAGAACAAUUGCAGGACCACUUAAAGUUUGCCUGAACCUGAACCCCAAGUUCAAUGUUUAAGAGAAGGAUGCCUAUACGUUCUUUGAUUAUUUCACUUAGGCCCUGUGUGCAAUGGGUUCCCAAUGAAUAACUAUUGAAUAAAGAAGGGGAAAGAUUUACUUAGUGCAUUGUGACAUUCUUCGUGUAGGAUGUAUAUUUCCUAUUUGUUAAAUGAUUCCACCAUGGUUGAAAGAAGGGAUGAGAGGAUACUCAUUUCACAUGUUAGUCAUGAAACUAUUUGCAAAAUUUUACUGUCAUUGCUGUCAUAAGCAAGACCAGCUCUUCCAGGUAUGAAAGCUGAAGGCCCAUGUCCACUGCACCAGCUCCGCUAGUCCCACUUGGGCUGAAGCCACAUUCCCCCUCAGCUGUGCUGCGGACUGUAACAUAGGUCACCUGCCUUGUUCCACCUUCUGUUUUUUUAUUUACUGGUUCUUUUCUAUCAACUGAGUUUCUGAGGAUUUCCAGCUAUAGCUAGCUUUCCUAAGAAACCCAGUAGCAGGGAUCAACUGGGUGUGUAGGGACCCUAGACAAAGGACUUAGCAGAAUUCCAGAAAUAGAAAUAGUUAACAGGAUUGUACCAUGGAAAUCAAAAUAGCUCAAAGAGAGGAUCUGAAUGUUCUCAUCACAGAUGAUGAAUGUUUGAGAUGAUGGAUAAUCUAAAUAUCCUGAGUUCAUCAUUACACAAUGUACACAGUUACCAAAACAUCACACCAAACCCCAUAAAUAUGUAUAAUUAUCUGUCAAUUAAAAAAAAGAAAUGGGUGGUGAGCUAGGCAGAGAACUGACCCCUACCCCGGCAGGGCUGUGAAUGCUGGCUCACUGCAUGGGCAGAGGCUGAGCAGACAUUUAGAGAUGAGAGGCCACAGCUCAGUGUGCAGACCCUGCUAAGGGUGACAUGGGUCAACACACACUCUCUGAAUCAGGACCAGUGCUCAUGGCUCCACAGUCAUUGAUUCCUCCUGUAACUAACAGAGAGCUUGUAAGUUCCCAGCCCUCGAUUCCAGCACUCUCUGAAGCUCUUUGCUGCUCAGUUGCCUCACCAGACCUUCCCCAUCUGCAGGAAGGAAAAGGAAAUAGAAUUAAAAACCCAUCAGCCGCUUUCCCUAUUGGCACAGUUUCACGGGAAGGCGGAGUGGGAGAGGACCUUGGAAGUGAUGGCUUAAUGAGGUGUUGUGGUUGUUGGAGGUGGCCUGGUCCCCGCUGGGAAGUUACUGUAAUCCAGGAGAGGUCUGCCAGAGGCGAUGGUGAGCCCCAAAGGGCAGGACGGGUGGGAGGGAGGCACCAGUGUGCUCUGUACUGAGCGUCUCUUUGCAGGCAGCACCUCUUCUUAGGGAGGCCCUGGCCUCAAAGUUAAGGGUCGAAGUAACACAGACCUUUCAUGAGUAACAGAAAAGAAUGGCAUCUUGCCCAUUCUCUGUGGUCAACAGCUUCCAGGCUGAAUGUCACUCCCCCACCCUACCCCCCCGACAUGGAACAAUGGUUAAAAGCCUGGAAAAAUAAUUUAAGGGUGAUGAUAUUAAUAAGUCAUUCUUCCCCGUCUCCCUCAUCCCCCAUCAAUGAAUGUUAUCCAAAUGGUUUUCCAACACUUCAUAUAAUUCAAUUGUGAGGGUCAGCUGUGUGGCUCUUUUAUUUUGCUUGUAGAUGGAGUGUUUCUGUACCUAUGUUGCAUAUUUAGAAAAACAUUUUUUUUUUGAGAGAAACAGACUGUCCUCACAGCAACUCACUUUUGCAGAGUUAAAUCUCAGUAUUCUGACCUCAAAAUAUGUUUCGGUCGUCAUCUCCCUGGCCAAGGUUACUUAUUCAUCUUCCUCUAGGCUCCCAAAAUAUUUUCUUGGAAUGUGCUCACGGAGGCAGGGCGUGGGGUUGGUGUUGAUAAUUCCACUUAAUCCUCAUUCUCAUACGGAACACAUGCAAUGAUCACUUUCCAUAGGAAGAAUAGCCGUGCAUGUGAGCAGGGCCUGGAGGGAUGCAAGGGAGGCGCUUGGCACCCCAACAUCUCCAGCCUGCGUCCAGCUUAGAAGUCUUGGCUUUGUGAGGAUGGGCUGAGGAGCAGGGGCUCCAUCCCACAGACGCAUCUCAGCCUGUCCUUCAGGAGCUGCAAGUUCAGUCCAUACCUGGCCUGCAGCAAUGACCUUAUGGGAUCGAACAUAACGAUGGCAGAGACAAGGACUGAGGCUCUCAUCAGACGAUUACUGAGCACACAACUGAGCUCACCCUUGGAUCGUGAUGAAUUCUGGAAUGAGCAUUGGCUAGAAACACAGUCACAGAAUGUCUCCAGAAAAGACAGAAGAGACCGCUUAUGGAUGCUAUUUAGAGAAAGAGGAAUAAACCAGACCUUGCAAGAAAGAACACCUUCUGGAAUCACCCAUGGUUCAUUCCCAUGCUUGUGCACUUUUCUGCCUGGAGCCACAGACAAGCAACUAGACCUCUCGUUCUCCUCAUCUUUAAGAUGUAGAUGAGAACGAGUCCCACUGUAUAAGGUUACUGUUCCAAAUAGAUGGAAACACUGCAGGACAGGCUACUGGGCAUAUCUAAUUGUGCUCAAUAAACUCUAUACAUGUUACUGUGAAUUUGCACGUAAUGACUAGAAAUUAUAAAAGGCAUCCUGAUUUUACCCAGCACUUUAGGAUCAUGAGAAAGUCAUAUCUCUGUGUCAGAUUUUCCUUUUAGAAAACAACGUACCUACUGCAAGGACAGGGCAAUGAAUCAAAUGGCAUUCAGAUAGUGCUUUCAAUUCUUCUGAGAGGCAUACUAUCUAUCAACAUAAAAUGUCAUUAUGUUCCCUCAUCAGUCACUCCUGACAUAAAGGAAAAUAACCUGAAGAGAAACUUUAACCUUCUCAAGUAUCUUUGUUGAACUUGUUCUAGGAGUAUUUUAUAAAUCUGUUUCACCAGUGGGUUUAUUUUACAUACUAAAAUUUCUUCAUACCACCAGGGAUAUUCUAUAAGCGUAAAUGAUUGAAUAAAGCACGUACAGCUCAGCCACAGACAACGUCUGUCUGUAAUUGAUUUAUUACAUGACAAUCAAUCAGAGCUUUGGGGUUUAUAUGAAUGCUUUCUGAAAGCUCCUAGUGGCCAAUGAUUACUUAUCAGGAAUGAUGAAGAGAGCAAAUAAAAGAAAACCCAGAAUUGAAAUGUGCUCUUUGGUGAUUCAGGACACUGCCAAUUGGCCUGCACUUGAAAUACACUAAGGCAGACUUUUCUAAUCAAGCCGCAUUCUGGGAAAUAUCUUCUUCUCUUUUGGCUCAUUUACAACUGAGAUGGACUCAAUUAGCCAAAUCGCACAUCAUGUGAGGAGUUAGGAAAAUUUGCCCUUUGUGGCCGUAUCUCCGUAUAUCACACACCACUGUCACACCGGGUCAUAUCAUUAACGUUGAUAUUCAGGGGAAGUAGGGAAGUGUCCAGAAAGCAAUAAUUAACUCUUGAGCUUACCUUACUGGUGGUCAUCAUCUGUAGAUGCCAGGCUCUCCGAAUGUUAACAUGUACUCUUGAAUUUUGGAACUUAAACGGAUGUGUUGUUAAGUGACCAAAGGGGAACUUUCCAUUGUUAUGUUAAUUCAAGCCAUUCCACAAUUGCAGAAACAUGUUUUCAUUAUUUAUUCACUGUUUCCAGCUAAGGAGUAAAAACAAGUGCUCAUGGGGUAUGGCAAGUACUAAGGACUUCAACUUUUUAUUUCCUGGUGUUAGGGGUUGAAUUGCGUCCUUCAAAAAAGAUAUGUUGAAAUCCUCACUACCCACCCCCUCCCCGUACUUCAGAAUGAGACUUUAUUUGGAAAUUAAGAUCAAGCCAUACAGAAGUAGGGUGGGACCUUAGCUCAAUACGAAUGGUGUCCUUAUGGAGAGGAGUAAAGACACACAAGGAGAGACAGCCAUGUGCUGACAGGGGCAGAUUAUAGCCAUGCAACUACAAGCCAAGGCCUGCCGAGGAUUGCCAGAAAAUACAGGAGCUAGAAGAGGCAAAGAAGGAUUCUUCCCUCUGGCUUCUCAGGGAAUAUGCCCCUCCGACACUUUGAUUUUAGUCUUCUGGCCUCUGCAAGUGUGAGACAAUAAAUUUCUUGUUGUUUUAAGCUGCCAAGUGCAUGGUACUCUUCUGUGUAGGCAGUCCCAGGAAACUAAUGCACCUGGUUUGCACAUUUCUGUUUACUCUGUUCAAUGUCAGUGUGUAGAACAUGAAGCUAGUCAUGGUGAAUAUUCAGAACUUAAUCCUUAAACCAUUUGUAUCUGCUUGCACUUUGGGCCUCAUCAAUACACAAGUAUUGCCACAUCUGAAGUGGUCAACCAGAGGAAUAAAUACGCAGGGCUCUUUAGAACUCUAUAGGCAGCCCUAAAAGUACUUAUAAUGGAAAGCAGUUGCCAUUUGCAAACUGACAGAUUUCUUGAUUUAAAGCCUUAAUAUGUCUCUUUGUCUAGCUAUAUAAUAGCCAAGUGGAAUAUUCAUCAUCCUGUCGGUCCUUAGAAGAAAAUCAUUGGAAAGCUGUAUUACUUUUAGUUUCAGAAUAAUAAAUAAGCCAGGUACAAACUUUUAAAGAAUUAUUGUUAAAAAAGAAAGAAUUAUUGUGACUGCUGGCCCUGGUGGAUUCUGGCUCCUGUCAUAAUUCACCUUACUCACUUAAUAAAGUUUUAGUCACUGUUUUUACUAGUAAAAAUUGUAUAAGCAAAAUUUUAAUCAAUAUCUGAGAUAUACUCCCAUUUUUUAUUAUUUGAUUUUUAAAAUAUACAUAAUAAAUACAUUAACAAGGAUAAAUAGUUUAUCUUUUUAGACUAACAAAGAUAAAUAGUUUAAACAAGUGAUUGGAUAGAGGAUGGCUAUGUGUUGCAAUAUUUGACUGCUGUGAACAUUUGUUUGUGAAAUAUACUUUAUGAUAUGGGAAAUGCUUAUUUGUAUUUUGGUGAGAAAAAUCAGGAUGAGAAAUCCAUGUGUGGUGUGAUCUCAAUUAAGUGAAACAAAAUCUAUACAGAAAAAAAAAUGUUAACAGAGAUUACAAUUGUGUUGUGGGAUUUUUUUGUUUUUACUUUACAAUCACAUUGGUUUUAUUUUCCUUUUUUUCACACUUUAUUUAAUUUUAAUUAACAUGGAUUCUAAGACAUGCCAUCCAUUGGAGAAAAGAUAGCCUCUUCAACAAAUGAUGCGUUGUAGGAUUUUAAACAAGUUUUGUGCUUUUCAUUAUUUUUCAAAUUCUCAACAUAGACAAAAGUUUCUUCUAUAAUCCAAGGCCAAUUUAAUACUAAAAGUAAAGGCACCCAAGCAUAAAUAGUAAUUAUCUGUAGACUGUUAUAUCAUGGAUAAUUUUUUUUUCUUUAGCUUAGUGUUUUCUGCUUUCCAUAUGUUCUAAUGUAAGAUGAUUUUAAAUUUCACAAUGAAAGAAAAAAAAUAAAAUUUUAAAAACCUAACCAUAGUGGGUGUUUGCAAGAUUUCAGAAGUGCUUUACACCGUCCCCUUAAACUUUCAAGGUGCCACCAUAAUACCUAUUGUAGAUGGCAUAAUGUUCCCAAUUCUUCCCCUCCCCUAUUUCCACACUCUUUGCCAAGUGAUUUUGCAGAGAAUAUUCUUCCACUGUGUGGAUGCCGUGCUCGGCAUGUGACUUGCUUAGGGCAGUGAUGUGGGCAGAGUGACAGUGUGCCAUCUGGGAGCCUAGGCAUAAAGAUGCACGACACGUGCACAUGACCUGCACAUCUGCCAUAAGAAAAGCCUCUCAAGAGUAGCUGCCGCUCUUUCAGCCUGGGCAAAGGAGUACAUGUGGAGCAAAUCCAAGUCAAACCCCAGGGACUAGCUGAGCCCAGCAAGAAUGGCCGCCAGACGCAGCACCCCCUCUAGGUCUAGCCUGGAGCAGGUCAAGACCAUGACAGCAAAUGUCAAUGGAUAAAAACUCCUGAGUUCUGGGGUGGUUUGUUAAGCAGCAAAAAAUGUCACUGACAAAGACACAACACUGUUUUGUAUAAACAGCCCAUUAUGAGGAUUCCUUUGUUCUUAUAUUACAGCCUAAAAAUAUACAUAGCCGUGUAUUACCCCCUGAAUCUUUUUUUAAUUUUUUUUUAAAAUUUUUAAUUUUUUUUUUUAGUUGUAGAUGAACACAAUACCUUUAUUUUAUAUAUUUGUGUGUGGUGCUGAGGAUCGAACCCAGUGCCUCACAUGUGCUAGGCAAGUGCUCUACUACUGAGCCACAACCCCAGCCCCUACCCCCUGAAUCUUGAGGAAGUGGUUUGUAUAUUUAUGUCAGUUUCCAAAGUAUAUCAAAGUAUUUAUGUGGCCACAUGACUGAAUCCUAUGACCCCCAUGUACCACUGUAUUCAUAUUUGGUUGUCUCAUCUGUCCUUCAUUUAAGCCCAUUAACUAUACAUUGUUCACUUGGUCAUUCUGGUUCCCAUUGAAGAAUAGUGUUUUGAGCUAUAAUCCUAAAGUUUUAUUUAGAAACUCACUUUAGGAAUUCUAAAACUAUUAAUCAUGCUGCACUGUUCUUUGGUAUGUAUACUGACAUUAUCUCUCUUUUUAGACCAGGGUUUCUCAACCUUGGCACUAUGACACUUUGAGCCAAAUAAUUGUCAUGGAGGUUGUCCUGCGAAUGACAAGAAGUUAAGCAGAAUCCCUGGCCACUACCACUAAAUGACAGUAGUGCAAACCCCUGCCCCAUUAGUUAAUCAGUGUUUCCAGAUAUUUAUAAAUGAUCCUGGGGAGCAAAAUCACUCUGAGUUGAGAAAUGCUUUUUCAGAAAAAAUGGGGAUUCCAUUUGGUUAAGUUGAACUUACAAUGGUGGAGGUCAUCUGGAUAUAGUUUAAGGUCUAGUCUUCCUCAUAACAAUUCAGCCUAUAUUAAAAAGAGCAAGAUCUUAAACUCCUAACCUCCAGAACUUCUGAUGUUUGUGGUAAAAAUAAAUAUAUUAUCUUUGAAGGUUGUAAGCAAAACCCAAAAGGUAUUAUUGACCUGGCAGGUAGAUUUUCUAAAUUCAUCUGCAAUUACUCUGAAGCCAGAAUAAAAACCUCCCUGUUAUACACACACACACACACACACACACACACGAAUCAGAAGCAUAGAGGGACAGGCCACACCAUGGGUAUUAUUUUUUAGGGCACAACAUCACAGCCAGCUUAGCACUUCAUAAAAAAAAGAAGAGGGAAUGGCCAAAUUUAACUACAAGUGAGGAACUUCAAAUACCACCAUACUCAGAGAUUCCAUUUCUAUCAAACAAAGGAUGAAGCAAAAAUUUAAUUUCCUGACAGUUUAAUAUGCUUCAGCAGGAAUGUGAGCAAGUGCCAGUUAAGUGCUGAACCUGAAUAUGGGACAUGUGUUUAAAAUAAAUGUCAGAAAAGAGUUUGUAUUCACGAUUCUGUCCUUUUCAGUGGAACUCAGAUAUGCUUGAACUACCUUAACCUUGAAACACCCAUAAAAACUUUUCAAAUCCACAGUGCAAAAUUGAGUUUGGAGACAUCCAUCAACAUGACCUGUGCCUUGGUUUCCUCAUCUGAACAAUGAGAAUAUUGAACAAAAUAGGGUCUGUAGCCCCAUUGGCUACAGCAUUCUUUGAAUUAUGUGAUAGUUCAUUAGUCAGUGCCGGUUAAAGCUUACCCAACAGAGGAGUUAGGAGGUUGGUAUUGGGGAGUUUUUCAUAAGAUUUGGCUUAUAGUUAAGCAGUUUUCCCAGGAAGGUUUUCACACAAAGCUGCAAACCAUAAACCCAGCAGAGUGAUCCAUUCUCAUUAGAGGCCCAUCAGGGAUCCAGUUAAGAGGCAAUAGGGGGGCCUGGGGAUGUAGCUCAGUUGGUAGAGCACUUGCCUAGACUAUGCAUCGGCCCUGGGUUCAGUCCCUAGUACUGCCCCAAAACAAAGGAGGCAAUAAGAGGGUAGAGAGAAGAGCCAGUGAUUGGUCACUGGAAAAUCAACAGAUAUUAAGAAAAAUAUGCCCAAGGAUGUAGGCAGCCACUGAGGAGGAGAGUUAGAAGCUGGCAAGGCAGAGCUGUGAAGUUGCACAAGCUGGACCCGGAGAAGGUGAAAUGGAAUGAGGACCUGAUCUCCUUCACUCUCCUCAUCUACGUCACCCAGCUUCUAGUCAUUCUGUUUGUCUUUAAAAACUUGGACAGGGACUGGGGUUGUGGCUCAGUGGUAAUGCGCUUAAGCAUGUGUGAGGCACUGGGUUCAAUUCUCAGCACCACAUACAAAUAAAUAAAAUAAAAGUCAUUAACAAUAAAAAAUAUUUUUAAAAAACCUGGACAGCAUAUGAAGAUUGGGCAUCUGUGCACACAUGAUACAAAGAACCUGGUUACAGUUUCUCCUCCCGCAUGCAAAGUGUAAGAAAGGUGUAAGAAUCCGCUUGAAUGAAUGGAACUAAAAAUUAUUCUUGUUAAGGGCAACUUUGGCUAAGGUACCUGAACUUCACAGCUAAAAUAUAAAGCCAGGAAGUAUGAAAAGAUGUCUUGUGGUCCUCGUGAGCCCUCAUGCUUGUGAUAUUCAGUCUUCAUGAAGGUUGGUGUAAUUGUAUAUAAUGUCAAACUCCAUUUUCUACCAAGUAUUAAUUAUAAGGGGAUUAUGUCUGAAAGGACACUGUCUUGUUGGUCAUUUCUGUUUAUGCUUUUACUUCUGUCCAGAGUGUAUUGUAAUUGUAAGAGUCCCUUACAAUUAUGUCUUACGAAGUCAGCACACAUCCACGAUGACAUUUAAUCACAGGACCAUAAGUCGUAUUUUUAAGAAAUAUACCAAUUAAGGGGGAAAAAACAUGCCCCCCAAAAGACAGAUAAAGUAGACGAGGAUUGCAUCAGUAUUCAUACCACUAAGUUACAAAAUAAGAAAGAAACUUCAGAGAAUUAUGCUAGGUGAUCAGGACUGAUUUCUACAACCCCUAACCCAUUAUUGGAUUUAUUAGUUAAGAAUAUUUGUGAUCGGGGCUGGGGAUGUGGCUCAAGUGGUAGCUCGCUCGCCUGGCAUGCGUGCGGCCCGGGUUCGAUCCUCAGCACCACAUACAAAGAUGUUGUGUCCGCCGAAAACUAAAACAAAUAAAUAAAUAAAAAUAAAAAAAAAUUAAAAAAAAGAAUAUUUGUGAUCAAUUUAAAGAAAGAAUUUUCUAUAGCAUUUAUCAAAAAGUGGUGGGAAAUUAUAUUUUUACUAGGAGUUUUUUUUAAUGUUAUUGUUGUUUGUUUGUUUACCAGAGAUUGAACCCAGGGGCCCUUACCCACUGAGCCUCAUCCCCAGCCCUUUUUAUUUUUAUUUUGAGGCAGGGUCUCACUAAGUUGCUUAGGGCCUCACUAAGUUGCUGAGGCUGGCUUUGAACUCGUGAUCCUCCUGCCUCAGCCUCCCGAGCCAUAGGGAUUACAGGCUUGCACUACCAUGCCUGACAAAGAAAGAAUAUUCUAUAGCACUUAUCAAAUAGUAUUUCUACUAUAAGGUAUUCUUUAUUGGUUCUAAUACAUGUUGGGUGGGGAGAGGAGCACCCUGACAGACAACAGAGAGAAAAAAUGUCCUUUCUCUGGGGUGUACAUCAGCUAAGAGCCAGGUAGCCUCCAGGGCUACCCUCUUGAGAGAAAUGUCUCAGGUCCACCUCUGUGCCAGGAACUGAUUCUGUCACCAUCCAUUACCAACAGGAUACAUCACAAAAGCACCCACUGCCUCUCCUGCCCCUCCACGCCACCCCUCACUUCUUCAGGGAGGAAGGACUUAUAAACACUGCUCUUACUGCAUAAGAUUUGUUUACUUAGAAUGAAGAUGUUGUCACAGAAUUUCAACUCCUAAUUUAUUCAUUAUUUUACUCUCUUCCAACUCUACCGCAAGGGAAUUAGAGUUUGUAUCCAAUUUGUGUUUGAAAUUUUUUAAAAAGAAAAUUAAACACAAAUAGUCUGAUCAUGGGGAAGUGACCUGAAGGAGGCACUGAGAAUCCUUCCCGAUGCGUGUUGGACUGGGCGCAUUCUUGUCUCUUACAUACAUACCAGAGGUACUUUAUUUAGUUUAAGUGAAUGGAAAGAUCCAUCCACGCUCCAGCACUUGGAAAGAAUUGUUACUCGAAUUGUUUGUUCCCAUAAACAACUCAACUUCUUGUUGCUCAAUAAGAAUCAAAACCGACAGUUUGUAAAAACCAGAAAACAUAAAACCUUGGACUGCGUUUAAGGGCUGAUUGCUAUUUCCAGACUCUUAUGAGGAUCCUGGGGGAAAAGCCUAUUUAGGAUUCCACAAUGUCAGUGAAAAAUAUUUCUCUGGAAAACCUGCUACAAAUUGGCCCAAAGUUUUUCCGAUUCCAAUUCCAGUUUGUAUCUAUUGAAAAAUUUUGGGCCCAUGAAGCAGCAUUAGUGGAACUAAGCUCACAUCACUGUAGCUCAAAAACCCAAUAGGCGUUAACUCUGCAAAUAACAGUAAGACCGGAUAAAAUGUCAAGGAUUUGCCAUUGAAUCCUCUUAACAAUGGACCAGGAGCAUAGUUUAAAGAUACACUGGAUUGAAGUGGACUUUAGCUAUGUCUCUCCAGGUCAAAUAAAGAAGACCUUUGAAUUAAGUGAUUGACAGAACAAUGCAGCCAGGAGAACUUCCUCUAAAGAAGACCUCUCUGUGAAGAUACUGGAAUAUGAAUGAGGAAGACACAUAAAUAAUGGCAGGGACUGGUGGUAGACAAUGUCCCAAAAUGGGCCCCCAAGACUUCCUUUCCCAAUGCCUGGAACUGUACUAUGACGUCAUACAUAAGCUUAAGUUAUGCAAAAGAUAGCAGAUGUAAUUAAGGUUACUAAUCAGUUGAGCAUGAGCUAAUCAAAAAGAGAUGAUCUAGAAAUGUCCAAUGUAAUCACAUGAGCCCUUAAAAGUGGAGAGGCUUCUCUGACUGAUGGCAGCAGGGAAAUCAGAGACCAGAAAUUCUGGGUGGACUAGACCCAUAGCUGUGAGCCGGGAGAUGGAAGGAUCCUUCCUAAGCAAAGGUGGAAUUGCCUAGAGGAUCCAACAGUGACCCCAGUUGACAGUCAGCCUAGAAAUGCGGAUUUAGUUCUCUAUGUGCAAAGAACUAAAUGCUAACAACUUGCAUGAGUUUGGAAACAGAAAAUCCCCAAGAGUCCCCAGAUUAGAGCCCCACCUGGCCAACAUCUUGAUUCUAACCUAAGCAGUGAAGCCAGCAGAACCCACUCAGAUAUCUGAUCUACCAAGCCCCGAGGGAAAAAAGGCAGUUGUUCUCCAGCAAAAGAAAAUGGAGGGAAUAGGAGAGAAAAGGGAAAUUGCAUGGAAAUGGAAGGAGACCCUCAUUGUUAUACAAAAUUACAUAUAAGAGGUUGUGAGGGGAAUGGGAAAAUAAACAAGGAGAGAAAUGAAUUACAGUAGAUGGGGUAGAGAGAGAAGAUGGGAGGGGAGGGGAGGGGGGAUAGUUGAGGAUAGGAAAGGUAGCAGAAUACAACAGUCACUAAUAUAGCAUUAUGUAAAAAUGUGGAUGUGUAACCUAUGUGAUUCUGUAAUCUGUAUUUGGGGUAAAAAUGGGAGUUCAUAACCCACUUGAAUCUAAUGUAUGAAAUAUGAUAUGUCAAGAGCUCUGUAAUGUUUUGAACAACCAAUAAUUAAAAAAAAAAGAAAAGAAAAUGGAUAUGGGACUCUUGGCAAAGUUUGGAUACCAGCUCUAAAUUUUGGCUAUAUGCUAUAUAUAUAUCACCUAGGACAGGCAUCUUUGUUAUUUAAAAAUUUUUAUCAUGGAAAAGUUUAACCACACAUUUACCAUCUGUUAUCCAUUUGGGAAGUGGUGAGGGAGAGAAUUUAAAAUCAAAUCAAAUUGUGGCUGAGGGACAAUCGGAAUCGGCACCACCUGGGGAACAAACUGGAAACUAGACCCACUGAUUUAAACCCUAUGGGGCCCAAGAAGCUGUCAGCAUCACCCAGACUCUAAAGCACUGGCACCUGCUAACACCCUAACUGGAAGCCUCACCCCAGCACCCAGCCUGCUGCUCAGAACCUUGAUGGCUAAGGAUCUACACACCAGUCACUCCACCCCUCCCUUCCCCCCACCAUCCUCACACCUAGGGGAGAGAGCAGGUUUGGGUGGGAAGUGUCAGAGUGCAGUUCUGGGGACAGUGUGGCCGUCCCUGAGGGUGGCCUCAGGAGUCGGAAUGCCUGGCCUCCAGCCCCAGCUCUGCUGCGUUGAGCUACUUGAGUGAUCUUGGGCACGUUACCUGGAUGCCUUAAUUGUCCUAUGUGGAAAACAUAGGUGAUAAAGUGACCCACCUCAUAGAGGAGUGAGGAUGAAAUUAGUAAAUACAACUGAAGUUCUUCCAAGUGCCUGGUGCACAGUAAUCCCUCAAGGUGAGGGAGAGUAUUAACAUUUCUAGGGACAGGGGCUGGAUGUAGCUCAGAAACUAGAGUACAUGUGUGCUGUGCUGCUCAAACAAAACAAAACAAAACAAAAGUUGUUCUUUUGGCCUACUGUCCAAAUCCACUUACCUCUUCGUCAGACACUACAUUAAAUAUUCCAGGUGUGGGCUAGGGUUGUACUUCAGUGGUAGCGUGCUUGCCUAGCACACAAGAGGCCCUGGAUUAGAUCCAUAAUACUGAAAAAAAAAGUAAAGAAAUAAUUUUUUUUUAAUUCCAGUACAUGCCCAGAGUCAGAUUAAAUCACAAAAUUCUAGUAAACUUAUGUUGCAAUAAACUAACCUACCAAAAUGAAGAUCACAUUGAUUUUUAAAGCUUAUUGUAACUAAUUGUAAUUGUGUGGGGCAUCAUUUAUCCAUUUAAAAAAAAAUACUAUUCUUAAAAUCAUACUAUUGUGUGCCUGAACAAAUUAACUCAGGUUUUACAUAAUGGACAGACAUGUUUGUUGUUUUUCUAUAAAGAAACCUGAACACUCAUUGAACUUUUACAAAUGGGUAAAUGGAUUUAUUUUAACAUGAUAAUGUUACCACAGGUAAUUCCUUUAGAUAAUCCUCUUCUUAAUUGUAAUGCCAUCGAGAUAUCAGGUUCUUUGUGUAUUGUUUGUUUGCUUUUCCCAGGACCCAAGGAGGAAAUACUCCCAAGGAAAUUCUGUCUAAAUAAAUGUGGCAAUUGGUUUAAAGAAACUUGGUAGUUGGGGAGGGGGACAUCAUGAGAGCUCUCUCUCACUUGCUUUCGGGUCCUUUGUUCAUUCUCUCUUUUAUUCAAACGUGUAUGUCAACAAUUUAUUAUACGAUGUGUUAGGAAACAAUGACAGAAAGGCAGACCCAGGCCCUAUCCUCUCAGAUACCAAAAUCAUGUGCGAGCAGCAUUUGUUGCAAGCGUAUAGGUCCAGGCACUGUGCUGGCUACUUACCAUCGCUUGACUUUUGAUUUUUCACAACCUGAUGAGCUACACAGCUGCAUCCUACAGAUGAAAAACUUGAGACUCAGGUUAAGUGUCUUGCCUGAUGUCACACAGCUGCAAAGAAACAGCUCAGAUUCAAACCCACGUUGCUAAUUCUGGGACUGCCACCGUUUCGUUCCAAUCACACCUUAAUACCAAACCAUCCCUUCUUGUUAGGUGAAUUACUUUAUGCUUCAGGCACCAAAAUUUCCCUACUUUUGCCCUUGUCAGGCAACCAGAUCCCAAAUAUAGCCCAAGCUUACAUAUAUAAAUAUACAUAUACAUAAAUAUAGCCCAACCCCUAAUCUUUCCAGCGCAUUCCAUCUCCUGGCCGAGCUCUAACACUGCAGCAUGCCCUCCCCUCCCACCACAAGUCUCAAGUCUUCUUGAGUGUUCAUCAGAUGUUUCAGACUGUAUUGUAAGUUCUAAAUUAGACUAUCAAGUUCCCCAAAGACCUAUAUUCUCUUUUCUCUUAUAUUUGCCACAGAAGUUAGGCAAAGAGUCAGGUGCUCAAAAAAUGACAGUUGUCUUUUCCAUUGCUUAAUUGGUUCUGUGAUCCUAACAACCCUAAUAGAUUCACAGAAAGAGAAGUUAAGUGACCCAUUUAAGAAUCAGAAAAGACGGGGUUCUUAUAUAGCUGCCUCCUUUCUCCUUCAAUCACUGCCACUGUCAAGACACUGUGUCUUAUGAUCAUCGACUUUGCCUGACCAGUUUUGAGAUGACUACACAGUCCUGGUUUACCUGAUGCAGAUGGGGCUCUACCCUAAGCUUUGGGAUAAGGCCAAACUUAGACUUCACUGCAGCACCCACUUAGCCUGAAAUUGGAAGAAACUCGAGAGUCUGUCGGUGGUUGUCUCCUGCUCUGAUAAUCCAUGGGCCUUUGUAUUAUCCUUCUGUUAACUUAACACCACCUUGAGAUGUCAUUGGUGUAGCCCAGCACCUUGGAACAAGUGCGAUCUCAUGACUGUCGACAUCCUGGAUUGACUGAGAGGAUUAUUCCUAGAACCUGUCGUUUGGAAGCCACUAGAGUUUCACAGGGUGUUGAUAGCCACUGGUUAUCACAGUAGUUCAGGGCAGCCAGGAAGUCCUUCUCCCUUGUGGAUGUUUGGGCUGAACUUGUGGUUUCCAUGCGCCACCUUUCCCAUUGCUAUGUGGCUGCAGUCAGGACAUCAUGGCGUUGCCUUGCCAGCUCGUGAGAGAAGACAGGGUUGAGACAGAGAGGAAUGCUGUGGGAAUCCAUCAUCCUCAAUCCAUCUGUACGGUGUUCACCACCUCUCAACCUCAGCAAGAUUGUGCAUUUCUUUUCCCUUUUCCUUCUGGAAGAGAGGCAUAGGAGCAAGCCAAGCAGGCUCUGAGGCCCAGGGAGGUCUGGAGUGUCAUCUGUAGAUGAAAGCUGUCCUCCUCAGGGGGCUUCUGGGAGACCCUCCACUGGGAGACAAGUAGGAGCUAACAGCUUAUCAUGCGCUAACCUUUCUCUUCCUUCUCACCUCUACAGAGGCUGCCCCAGGGCCCCUUGCUGUCUGCUUUGGGGUUGUUAUAAAAUCAAUAUCCCUGCUCCUCCCUUUACCCUCCUCUCUUACCCAGAAAAGGGAUGAAGCCAAGUCUCCAUGACAUUGGGAGGACUUUGCAGGAGUUCUCUUUUCUCAUCUGCCUCUCCAUCCCUCAGACAGCCUGCGAGAUAAUGUACUGUUGAUUUCUACUCUCGUGGAGGAGGAUUCCAAGUGAUCACAGAGGAGAGGGAUCAGAAUCCCUGAACCAUUGGCUUAACGUUCCAAAAUGCUAGUUUUCAUCCUUCUUCAUGGUCUCGUUUAUCUUAAAAGAAUAUUUCCUAUUAUUUCUCCACUCUGCUUUCUCAUGGGUUUGGAUUCUGCAAACAGCUCAAACCACUUCCUGACCACAUAUUUCUUCAUUUGGAAAAUAUGGACAAAGGUUGCUUUAACCCCUUGCCUUAUUUAUCAACUCUUUUUCCUCAUCUCCUGUGCAUCCCUGAUCAUUUUUGUUUUAAUUUCUGCUGUUGAUGGCUGUUAUUUCCUAAAUAGAACAGUUUUCUACGUGUCUCUGGGGUUCCUUCCUUUCCUCCCCAAUCUCUCCAUAUUUAAAGUCAUCACCCCGGCGGAGUCCUUAGGAAUCACAUUGAACAGUUUGGCCGCACAUUCAAGUGGUCAGACAGGACAUUAGGUCACACUCUCAGUCAUCAUCAAAAUAAAAGUGUGUUGACGAUUUAAUGGAAACCACCAUCAACGCUGCUUGGCCAAGAAAGAAGUACUCUUCUAGGGAAAUCAAGCAAGUGAAGGAAUCCAACAGGCCAUCAAGGAGUGAUCGUCUGAAGACUUAAAUAAGGAAAAAGGAUCUGGCAAAAUAUAAAUGAGAGGUCAGUUCCUUGAAGAAUGUCCCCAGUUGGGUCAUUCUGAAUGUAACUCAGCAUUCUGUGGUCAAAGUGAACCCUGGUUGCAGGACAAGGUGGGUGACAUGUACGUUCCUUAACAGUGAGUGAAUAACUCUGCUGAAAUGAGGAAUAAGAUGCUUUCAGCACCCGGGUGUGUUAAUAUUCUUACCAUAUGUAUAUUUACUGGAAAACUGAAAUAGACAAGGCUCCAUGACUCCAGAGUCACAGUACUAAGAAGCGUCACUCCUGGGUCUUCUGCAGCAGCUCUUCUCCGUCUUUUCUCACUGGCGCUGAGCAGGGACCGCCAAGGGGAGGGUUGCACACACUUCGACGGUCUACAGCUUUCUUCCCCAUGGUGUGGAUCAUAUUCCCUCCCCAUCUGUGGGCAUCUCUCUGAGUCCACAGCUGCUCACAGAACCACAGGGCAAAGACAAGAGGCUUUCUCCUUACAGCGAGUCUCUAAUUGCCCUGAUAGUAAUUAGUCCCUAAUUGGCCAUUUUUUGAGCAAAUGCUGAUUACUUCUCCCUCUCCUUUAUCCUUUUUUAUUCUCCCAGUUUUUUUUAUUCUCCCUCCAAUAAAAUCCUAAAAUACAGAUAGGCUAAACUUCAAGGAAAAAUUGGGGGAAAUUUCCUUUUGAUGGUUAAAAGCUGUAGCUCUACUAGGCCCAGUGGUGUAAACCUUUCAUCACAGUGUCUUGGAGGGCUGAGGCAGGAGGAUCACAAGUUCAAGGCCAGCUUCAGCAACUUAGUGAGACCCUAUCUCAAAAUAAAAACUAAAAAAGAGCUGAGAAUGUAAUUCAGUGGUAGAGUACCCCUGGGUUCAGUUCCCGGUACCUAGAUAAAUAAAAAAAUUAUCAAAAUUUACUUAUUUUUAAUAAAUUUUAGUUUUAGAGCAGUUCACAGAAAAAUUAAAUGGAAAGUAUGGAGAGAUCCCAUCUGCCUCUUGACUACAAAUACACAGCCUCCCCACUAUCCAUAUCCCACACCAGAGUGGCCUUUGUUACAAUUGAUGAACCCACAUUGACACAUCAUUAUCACCUAGAGUCCUUAAUUUACAUAAGGGUUUCACUCUUGGUAUUGGAUAAUCUAUGGAUCUGAACAAAUGCGUAAUGUACCCACCAUUAUGGUAUCAUACAGAACAGAUGCAAAGCCUAAAAAUUCUUCCAGCUCUGCUUGCUCAUCUCUCCCUUCUCCCCCUAGUUAGCAAUCACUGAAGUUUUUACUAUAAACAGUUUUGCCUGCCCUAGAAUGUCAUAUACUAGAAAUCAUACGGUGUGUGAUCUUUUCAGAUGGGCUUCUUUCACUUAGUGAUACACAUUUAAGUUUCCUCUGUGUCUUUUCAAUCUUCAUUUUAGCUUCAUUUCACUUCCUUUUAGCACUGAAUUAUAUCCCUUUGUGUGGAUGUACCAAUUAUCUAUUCAACCACUGAAGGACAUCUCAGUUUUCAAGUGAAGGCAAUUAUGAAUAAAGCUGUUUAUACACAUCUAUGUGCAGGUUUUUCUGUGGACUUCAGUUUUCAACUUACUUGAGGAAGUGUGCUGGGAUUGACUGCUGAAUUGAAUGAUAAAAAAAUAGGUGUAAUUUUCUAAGAAACUGCCAAACUGUCUUCCAAAAUGACUGUACUAGUUUGUAUUCCCACCAUUAAUGACUCAGAGUUCCGUUGCUUCACAUCCUCUGCAUAACUUGGUAUCAUCAGCAUUUUGGAUUUUGGCCAUUCUGAUAGGCAAUGAUGAUAUUUCACUGUUGAUUUAAUUUGCAUUUCUCGGAUGACCUAUGACACGGGGCAUCUUUUCAUGUGCUGUUUACCAUCUCUGUAUCUUCUUUGGUGAGGUGUCUGUUAAGGACUUUGGCCCAUUUUUUAAUCAGUUGGUUUUCUUAUUGUUGAGUUUUAAGAGUUCUUUGCAUAUUUUAGAUAAUAGGCCUUUAUCAAGUGUGACUUUUGCAAGUAUUUUCUUCUAGUCUGUGACUCACCUCCUUAUUUUUUUGACAGUGUUUUUGGCAGAGCAGAAUUUUUUUUUUUCAUUUUAAUGAAGUCAUGCUAUCAAUUCUUUCUCUCAUAGGUUGUGCCUUUUGCUGUCAUGUCUCGAAAGUGAUCACUGUACCCAAAGUCAUCUAGGUUUUCUCCUGGUAACAGUUUUACAUUCAGGUUCAUGAUUUAUUUUGAAUUAGUUUUUGUAAAGGGUAGUGUAUGUGUCCUUCCUCCCUCGCUCCCUUUCUUUUCUUCGUGCAGAUGUGCAGUUAUUCUAGCCCUGUUUAUUAAAAAGCCCAUCUUUUCUCUAUUGUGUUGAUUUUUCGCCUUUGUCACAGAUCUAUUUGUGGGGUCUCUUGCUGGGUUCCCUCUUCCGUUCCAUUUAUCUGUUCUUUCAGAUACCAACUGUCCUGAUCAUUGUUGCCUUAAAGAAAAUCUUAAAAGUUGGCUCCUAUGGGUCCUGCAGCUUUUGUUUGUCUACUUCAGUAUUGAGUCGGCUCUCUGGGUUCUUUUGCCCUUCCAUAUAAACUAUAGAAUCCGUCUGUCAAUAUCCACAAAAUAACUUGCCAGGAUUUUGGUUGAGAUUGCAUUGAAUCUAGAGAUAACUUGGGAUAACCAAUGAGAAGACAGUACGGAGUCUUCUUAUGCAUGGAUAAGCACUCACUAUUUAGUUCUUUAACUUCUUUCCACAGAGUUGUAUAGUUUUCUUCAUGUAAAUCUUGUCUAUAGUUUGUUAGAUUUAUAUCAAAGUAUUUCAUUUCUGAGGGGUUCUAAUGUAAAUUGUCAAAAGGAUUGUGCUUUUACAGAUCAUAUGUUUAGUCAUUCAACUUUUUAAUUUGUUCUAAUUAGUUAUACCUAACAGUAGAAUGCAUUCUGACACAUCAUACAUAAAUGGAGUAUAACUUCUCAUUCAUCUGGUUGUACAUGAUGUAGAGUUACACAGGUCAUGUAAUCAUAUACCCACUAGGGUAAUAAUGUUCAAUUCAUCCUACUAUCAUUUCUACCUCAUGUCCUCUCACCUCCCUUCACUCCUCUGUCUAGUCCAAAAUACCACUAUUCUUCCCCCCACCUUAUUGUGAAUUGGUAUCCACAUAUCGUAGAAAAUAUUUGGCCUUUGGUCUUUUGGGAUUGGCUUAUUUUGCUUAACAUAAUACUCUCCAAUUCCAUCCAUUUGCCAGCAAAUGUCAUCAGUUCAUUCUUCUUUAAGGCUGAGUAAUAUUCCAUUGUGUAUAUAUACCAAAGUUUCUUUAUCUAUUCAUCUUUUGAAGGGUACUUAGCUCGGUUCAAUAGUUUAGCUAUUGUGAAUUGUACAGCUAUAAUUAUUGAUGUGUCUGUGUCAUUGUAGUAUGCUGAUUUUAAGUCCUUCGGGUAUAAACUAAGGAGUGGGAUGCUGGGUCAAAUGGUGUUUCUGUUCCAGGUUUUCUAAGGAAUCUCCAUAAUGUUUUCCAUAGUGGUUGCACCAAUUUGUAGUCCUAUCAGUAACGCAUGAGUGUACCUUUCCCCCCCAUUUUUCUUUGCCAACAUUUAUUGUUGCUUAAAUUCUUUUUUUUAAAUGUUUAUUUUUUAGCUUUAGGUGGACACAAUAUCUUUAUUUUACAUUUAUGUGGUGCUGAGGAUUGAACCCAGUGCCUCGUGCAUGCUAGGUGAGCACUCUACCACUGAGCCACAACCCCAGUCCUGUUGCUUACAUUCUUUUUUUUUUUUUUUUUUUUAAAUAUUUAUUUAUUUAUUUUAGUUUUUUGGCGGACACAACAUCUUUGUUUGUAUGUGGUGCUGAGGAUCGAACCCGGGCCGCAGGCACACCAGGCGAGCACGCUACCGCUUGAGCCACAUCCCCAGCCCCAUUACAUUCUUGAUGAUUCUUGAUGAUUGCCAUUCUGACUGGAGUGAGAUGGAAUCUCAGUGUAGUUUUGAUUUGCAUUUCUCUAAUUGCUAGAGUUGUUGAACAUUUUUUUCAUAUAUACAUUUGUUUAUCAACUGUAUUUCUUUUCUAUGAAGAGUGUGUUCAGUUCCUUUGCCCAUUUAUUAAUUAGGGUAUUUGGGGUUUUGGUGUUGAGUUUUCUGAGGUCUUUAUAAUGUGAAGAGAGUCCACAGAAUUAGGAGAAAAUCUUUACCACAAGUACCUCAGAUGGAGCCUUACUCUCCAGGAUAUAUAAAGAACUCAUUCAACUUUUACUUCAUGCUACUACUACAUCUGGAUAUGAACUUGAAAACUCUUACUGUUCAUGUUGUCAUUGCUGACAUUACCUAACAUUCUUAAAGAUAAAUCUUUCCAACUUUUUCUAAUACAGUAAUUUAUAUUUUAAUAAAAUAAUCUGAGUAGGUAUAGAGAAUUAGAAUUUCCAAGUUGAAAGCAACUUUAAUGUCUUCCAAUCAUAUCUCAUGUUUGUAGUCUGGAUGCAUUUAAAACAAGUGUUCAUUCAACUUCUUUUUAAGUACUUUCGCUUAUAGGUACCUUCUUUUUAAGUACCUUUGCUUUACCAUCACAUGAUCAGAGUGUUAUCAUUUAAAAAUAUCUUUCUUUUUUUUCUUUGCACUCUUAAAUAUUUAUUCCAGAGCCGGUGCGGUGGCACACACUGGUAAACCCAGAGGCUCAGGAGGCUGAGGCAGGAGGAUCACGAAUUCAAAGCCAGCCUCAGCAGUUUAGCGAGGCACUAAGCAACUCAGUGAGACCCUGUCUCCAAAUGAAAUAUAAAAUAGGGCUGGGGAUGGGGCUCAGUAGUUGAAUGCCCCUGAGUUCAAUCUCAGUACCAAAAAAAAAAUAUUCCAGAGAUAUAAAAACUUAGAUUCACAUAGGAACUUGUGCAUGAAUGUUUAUAGCAGCUUUACUGAUAAGAAACCCAAAUUGGAAUCAUCCCAGAUGUUCUUCAUUAGUGAAUAGUUAAAAUAAAUGCAUACUAUAGAAUCCUUUUAAGCAAUAAAAAGGAAUGAUACACAAAAUAACUUGGCUGAAUCUCCAGGGAAUUAUUCUGAAUUAAAGAGAACCAAUCUUUAAAGGUCACAUGCUGAAUGAUUCCCUUUAUAUAACAUUCUUGAAAUGACAAGAUUGUGAAAUGAAGAACAUUAGUUAUUGCCUGGAGUCAGGCAGGAGUAUGGGGGUAGGAGAUGAAUGAGGUGGUUGUGUCUAUAAAAGGACAACAGUAUAGGUCUUUGUGGUGAUAGAAUUGUUUUAUAAAAAAGAUAACUUCUUGAUGUUGAAAAAUUCUUAAAAUUAAUAAAAAUCCUGUCUUUUUCCAUGUGUGGUAGGGCAUACCUGUAAUCCUAGCUACUCAGGAGGCUGAGGCAGGAGGGUCCAAAGUUCAAGGCCAUCCUGAGCAAUUUGGUGAGACCCUGCCUCAAAACAAAAUGUUAAAAAGGAAAGGAAUGUAGCUCAGUGGUACAGUGCUCGUCUAGAAUGUGCAAGGUUCUGGGUUCAACCAGUAGGACCACAAAUAAAAAUUAAAAACAAAACCUAUCUUCUUGUCACUUCCAAACCCUGACCCAAGUUUUAGUACUUAAUAUAUUUUGCAUGUGAUAUCCCUUAGAAUAAAGAAAAUCACCUUGUAUUCAAAAGUGUUUUUGUGUUCACACUGAUCAAGCCUCACUUCUUCAAACCCAUGGAUUUUCAUCUCCUUUUCACCCUAGCCCUCUCCUCAGAACAGUGCACUUUGCCCAGGUAUUUCAUAAAUCAUCGUGGGAAUAGCGGGAUAUGCCUGAGUUGCGCUGACCAUCACCUUUGUAUCAUCUCCACUUCAAAAAUGAUAAAACUGAGACUACCUGUUAAGUGAUUUAUGCAAGGUGUUAAACCAGGCCUUGAAUUUGGAUCUCUUUUCCCCUUAGUAGGGAAAAAAGAAUCCCCUUUAUUGCUUGGUAAAGCUUACAAAUCUGGCCAGAGACCCUAUUUAGCAUUGAGACUGAACCUGGGAUUCUACAGGUUUCCAUGUAAAUAAAACAUCUAAAGGACAUGGAAAUAAUGGAGUUUCCUGCUUGGGUUUGGGUCCUUCCCCACCCAUCCCAAUGCCUGCCUUCUCUCUCUCUCUCUCUCUCUCUCUCUCUCUCUCUCUCUCUCUCUCUCACUGGUGCAUGUAUGUUUGUUAGUCAUCUGCUCUGAGAGUCGGUCUGUUUAUAACUCACUUCCCUCCAGGAUGGCCACAUCAAAUAUGUGCUGCUGUCCCAGGACACCAAUAAGGAGACUUCAAUGAGAAAAAUGCACUUUUGCAAUUGAAUAUUCAGUGUGGCCCAUUCAAACUUAUCAUUUUUAGCUACAAAGUGAUACAAUAAGAAAAUCAUUCUUUCUGGGGUAUUUGCAGGCAAAAAGUUUUAUGAAGGGAUUCCAAACUUCAGAACCCCAAAUCAUACUGGGUCACGACUUGCUCAAGCAAAAUAAAUGUUCAUUCCCUUUAAGGAAUGCAUGCACAGUAUCUGGCCCUUUGAAGAGACCCAAGAAAUCAAAACAACCUUUGUGUGUUGCCAGGUCCUGGAUUCAAUUGCAGAAAGAAGUGAAUCAUCAGGAUUUAGCCAUCCUAUGAUGGCUCAGAGUCUAGGAGACCCAUCCUCAGAGAGUAUUGGGCUUGACCUGUUCUCUUAGGAGGACAAAAAGAAUAAGGGAAACUCAGACGGGAAUUAUCCUGAUUAUUCGCACUGCCCAGCAAGGCUGGAAGAAAGUGUCCAGACCAAUAACCACUUGGACUAUGCCUAAUUAAGAAGGUCUCUUGUACCUGUUCAUUCAUGCCCUCAUUCAGUCAUCCAUUCAUUGGGCGAUUUUUUUUUUAACAUCAACUCCUGCAACCUUAUCACUUAGGAACUGUACAAACAAGUUACAUGUCUAAGUUAUCAUGUCUCAUUUUUCUUAUUUGCCAAACAGAGAUAAUUCGAUUUCCUCUUCGGUGGUCACAAGCUUUAUGUGAGUGAAUGGCCAGUGCCUGGUGCCCUGGGAAGCACUCAGCUGUUGGCUCUUGUGAUUGUUCCUGCGUGCCCAGCACUGCCACGCAAGGUAUGGGGUUAAUACAGCCCCCAGUGUGAACAAACAGGGGAGUGCGGCCACCCUCUGCAUUCAUGAUCACCACUCUUUAAUCACCUAAAGUUUCAUGGCUAGACCAGACCAGGAAAAUCACCUGGGAUAAGCCCUUUAUUUUACAAAUGAGGCCCAGUGAUAAAAAGGGGGGCCUGGUCACAGUUGGUAGGAAGCCCAGCACCGGGGAGUCAUGUCUCCCAGUCCCCAGCUCCGUGGUUCUGCUGUUCCACUGCCUGUCUGUGGUGUUUUACUUGGUACUCCACUGGGGUGAACUGGGACAGUGAGGGCAGCCUGCCCUCAUUUUGCCUGCCCUGGGUCCCUUACUCUAUAUAUCCAAAAUAAAAUUUGGAGUUGUUCUUGUUAGAGACUUAAUAAUGUUUCACACACGCGUGUGCGCGCACACACACGUAUUUAUAUACCCAACAGUUUUUCAGAUACAUACUGAUUUUUUAAUGAAAAAUCCUCAGCAGUCUUCAUAAUUAAUCUUUAAUGAGCAUUUACUAUGGGUCAGACACUGCUCUAAACACUUUCACAUAUUGUCUCUCUAAGGGCCAAGUACUUACUUCCUAGCAGUCGGUGGAGAAACACUGACCUAAAAGAGUUGAUUUAAUGUGAUGAGUUCCUUGAUCUUAGACAGUUCAGAUGUAUCCAGUUGGGUUCUGUCCCAGAGAUGCAACCAUGUGAGCCACUGGAUUAAGUAAAAGUAACACAGAGAUUCCCUCUAAUGGUUGUACCAAAAAAAAAAAAAAUCUUCUAGCUGGGCCUGGUGGCCCACGCCUGUAAUCCCAGCAGCUAGGGAGGCUAAAACAGGAGGAUCGCAAGUUCAAAGCCAGCCUCAGCAACGGCGAGGCACUAGGCAACUCAGUGAGACCCUGUCUCUAAAUAAAAUACAAAAUAGGGCUGGGGAUGUGGUCGAGUGCCCCUGAGUUCAAUCCCCAGUACCCCCCUUGCCCCCCGCAAAAAAAUCUUGGGAAUUGCAAACAUUUUGAUCUGUUCCUUGGAUUUAUCUGGACCAGCUUGAAAAGCACUGACAGAAGUUACUGUUCUGUAAUAAUGUCUUUUAAUGAUAAUUAUCACUGCAAAAGAGAAGCUUUACCCAUAGCACACCCAGUUUGAUAAACGGUUUUAAACAUAGAAACUAUCCCAGAUGCCUGUUCUUCCACAAGCCUCAACAUCAUUUCAGAAUUAUACACAUGGUUCUUAGAGGUCUAUUGUGCAGCCAUCUAUAACAGGGAGCUUUGCUUUCCUGGGCUGGUCUCUUUCUGGCUUCAGAGAAGAACUCUGUAGGCAAGGUUCUAGCACAUUCCAGCACACCACUUUCAAACUGUAGCUACUCAAGCUCUUUCUAAAUGAAUGGAGACAUAUCUCCAGUUUCCAAAUAUUCUUGAGCAUAUUUUGGAACAUGAAUCAGAUCUAGUGUGAUGACUGUAUUUCCGUUUGUACAUUUUUAGCAGGGGAAGAAACUGUUUCUCCUGCCUGACCCAAAGGAGGAGCAUAGAGUUAAAAAUCUUAAAGUAGUGUUUGGGGGCUUAACACUUCCACGGAAAGUAAUUUAUCCUUGCUGUUGUAAAUGACCUGUUACACCUACUCUCACCCUACACAGAUGUCUUCUUUGGGCUAUGGUAACAUGAUUCUAAUUCAAUCUAGUAACCUAUUAAAAUUUUAUUCUAUCAGUUGUUUUAUUUAAAUCAGGAGUCAGCUAACAUUUUCCACGAAGAGUCAAAUGGUAAAUAUUUUAGGCAUUGGGAGCCAUAUGAUCUUUGUUGCAACCACUCAGUUCUGCCAGUAUGGUCCAAAACAGCCUCAGGCAAAUCAUAAAUGAACCAGCCUGGCUGCCUGAGUCACAAUGAAACCGUUUUGAUAGACAUCAAAACUUGAACCUUAUAUCAUUUUCAUGGGUCAUGAAAUCUUAUUCAACUGUUGAUUUUUUUCCCCCUCAACCAUUGAAAAAAUGUGAGAAUCAUUAUUGUCUCAUAGGCCAUACAAAAACAGGGCCAGAGUUGGCCACAGGCCAUACUUUGUCAACCCCUGGUACGAAGGAUUCCAACAAAAUAGUUGGCUGAGUCACAGAAUAUCUUCACUGACGGACUUGUUAUUAGUUUUAAAGAGAUUCCAGCAUCCCAAUAUGCAGUUGAUACAGAUAACUUCAUACUGGGGACCCUAAGGAUUUUUAAGCUUACAUAAUGUUGGCAGUUUGUAGAUCAGUCAUUGUGAUGGUCAAUUUAUGUGUCAACUUGUCUAGGCCACAAUACCAAAACAUUUAGUCAAAUACUAGUCUGUCUAUUCCUGUGAAGGUAUUUUUUAGAUUAGAUUAACAUUUACAUGUGUGGGUUUGGAGUAAUGCUGAUUAUAAUGUGGUUGGGCCUCAUCAGUUGAAGUUCUGAAAAGACUGAUUUCCCCUAAAGAACAGGUAAUUUUUCCACAGCUCUUCUUUGGAUCUCAUAGCCUGCAGAAUUUGGACUUGUCAGGAUCUAUCUUUCUCUACACACACACACACACACACACAAACACACACAUGGUUCUGUUUUUUUGGAGAACCAUAAUGAAUGCAUUCUAUCUUUCACAAUCUUUAAGGACUGGAUUUGGGUCCCACAUGAUUUUUUUUCCCCCUGGUGCUGGGAGAGAGCAGGGCCUCAAGCAUUGAUUAUUCUCUUAAUACAGAAAAUGUUCCUUCAAUUUUUGAUGGUAUUGCUCCUUAAAUCCCUUUAUGGACUUUUGAGGUCCAGGUCAAGCAAUUUAUUGGAUUUCUUGUCUUAAAUCUUUUUCUUAAGUUUAAAGCAAUAAUGCAGCUUAACCAUACUCCCAGGAACACUUAAAAUGGUUUAGACCAAUGCAUCUUCUACGUCUUUACUAGCCAAACAGACAUUUAUGUACUGGCAAUGUGUGCUGAUCUUCUACUAUGUUUUGAAAUCAACACAUUCCUUAAUAUACCAGAUUUAAAUAUAUUACAGCUGAAGCCUGUCAACAUACUCAAGCUCACAAAUAUUCAACAACUAAAUUAAUAGGUCUUUGUGACUUCUUUUAGACUAAUUUUGAUUUUCUUAAAGUAUGUUCUGCUGACAUUCAGCCUCCUUGUCUUAGAAGUUGGUCCCAUUUUUUUCUUUUUCUUUCUUUUUUUUUUUUAGAAAAAUAAGUUUGGGAAGCUCUUCAUGCUAUAUGCCACCUGUGGAGGUUUGUAAUAUGCAUGGCAUACUGAAGAUUUGAGAAGUUCAAUAGCAAAGAAACCUGUUUACAUUUGUUUAGUCCAUUGUUUCCAAAUGUAUUUCACCACAGAGAUUUUCUCUCUCUCUUUCUCUCUCAUUUUUCCCAUAACAUCCAUUGGAACACAUUCUGGAAAAUUAUAGUCUCAUAACUUUCUGUCCUCCUGAAGGGUCAUAAAAGGGCUAGAAAGAACAUUUCCUUAAGGACAAGUGAUAAAGAAAAGCACAAAUUAUUUUAUGAAACUAGUAAACAAUCAAGGUACUAAUGAUCCCUGGUAAAGAAUGCAGGGUCAGUUAAAUAAACUAUCCUUUGCUAUCUACUCUUUGUUUAUAUUUAAAUACAAUGUCUCCUCUUCACACCAUUACCCUGGGGACAGUCUGUUACUUCCUUUGUAAAGCUAAGCAGUUUUAUAUUUGCUCCCAAGUCUAUGCAAAGGGAAUGUGACAUUCCUCUUUUGCCUGUUUUGGAAGUGCCAAUAAUGAUAAAUGUAGAUGGGCAGAAAUGAGUGAAUCCAUAUCUUCCAAGGAAGGGGGAAAUAAGUCACUUGCUUAGUUUGUGCCUUUCUGCAGCUCCCUUCCAUCCACUACAGAGAGCAGGCACCUGGCAUGCAAGAUAUACCUGAUGCUUCAUGCAUCUCUGCUGGGGCCUCUCUGAGCUCUCCCCAAGGCUGUGCAAAGGAGCUCUGGGCUCAUGCCCCGGCCCCUCUGCUCCUGCAGACCCCUGUUCAUGGGUGUGGACAUGUCAAAUGCACGACAGUUCCCGGGACAGAGAGUGGCCCCCUCAGUUCCAGCUACUCCACUCUACAUUUCCCAGCAAAAGCACAGAGCCAAGGCUCUGCAGACUGCUAGCUCAGCCCCAGUCUGGUGGUUCCCAGCCUUGCUGCUUAUUAGGAUCACUUGGGGAGCUUUCAAAAUAUCAGGAAUCCAGGGACCUCACUCCCUGAAGCUCUGAUUUAAUUGUCUUGUGGUUGGUCCUCGGCAUCUCUAGCUGCUGUGAAAUCUGGGGUGACUACUAUGCAGCCAACACUGUGAACUUCUCCCUCUUUGGGACAUGAUGCAGGGAGGUUCUGGAUGAGGGGAGGGUCUCUUGACUUCUCGCUCCAGGAAACACAUGGUCUGUUUCUUAAAAAGUACUUUCAGGUGCUGCAUGCAUGUUAUUCCCUGUUGAUUUAUUGGGAUCUUAACAAUCUGAAAGAAUGAAGGCCUCUGGUCAAACAACAAAUGGUGCAUUAUAUGUAUCUGAGAUAAUAUCAGUGGGGUAGGAAAACUGCUUAUUGUCUCUGGAUUUUGUUCACUGGGAGAAAUUAGCUGAAAGCGACUCCCCCAGCACAGCCCGGCCCCUCUUCCAAGGCGGUCUCCACUCUUGGAUCUGGGAACUCACAGUCUGUAGCUCUCUGGCCAAAAUGUCAGAGGUCCCGUCUCUCACUCAACUCCUGCCCAUCAGGAAAUCCAGUCUAUGGCUGCCAGCUCACCCACCUGCUACUAGCAAGCUUAUAGGUCUCUGAGGGGCGGGCCUUGGCGGGCCAUACUCUUUCAAACUUUCUACUUUGGAAUUUCAAGUUGUGUUUAUCUACUUUAUUUUCUACUUUCCUCUUAUUUUAUUUUUCUUUUCAUUGAAAUGGUUUUGCAAAUCCAGAUUCUAAUCCUGGCUUUGCCUCUUACUGGUUGUGCCCUUACCUGUUCUAAUCUGCAUGAUGAGGUUAUUAACAUAAGACUGGCACUUUUCUCAAGAGAAUGAAUUGUUCAGUUUCAAAGAUACUUGGAAUCUGCUGCACCAGGAACUCAAGGCCGUGAACUGCAAGGUCCUUGCUGCAAACAGCCUAGGCUUCCAACCAAUCCACAUCAACUACUGAGAAGGGGAGGGCACUCAUGUCACACCCUCAGUGUGACCUUGCCCCAGUUUUCAUCCUAAAAAAUGAUCAGGUGAUUGUGUUUCUUUUUUUCUUUUUGUUGGCUCCUGUGGACCACAAUGUGACAUUCCUAAAAGCCAUCAGAGACAAAUUGUCCCGUUUCUCUGGAUUGCUCUAGGUCUCUCUCACUACUCAUUUAUUUCUGUUUACACUACCCUGCCUUCAGUGGCAGCCUCUGGCCUUUCUUACUUAUGUGACCCUAGACACGCAGCCCUGGCAUGGAAGGUGUACCCCAGUGGACCUCAGCUUCCUCACAAGAUCUGGAUCACAGACACCCCCUCUACCAGCUCUGAUGCUGGCUAGCCUCCAACAUCCCUCCCAACCAGGGAAGGAGAAUUCAAGAAGUCUUGAGCCCUUAGAGAACAGUUCUUAGGAGGAAACAACUGCAAGUCUAUAAUAACAUUUUGGAAAAAGCUCCAACACCAUCUUCCCUUUGCAUCAGUCAGAUUACAUUGAGUCAUCUCCAAGAAAGAUGGGAAUUCAAAUGGUGCAGCCUCUGUUGGAGGGGAGUCUGGAGUGUUGGGUGUUUGUCUUGGCUCAGUUUUGGAAAAGAUUUCCCUUGUCCUCUCUGGAAGAUAGGGUCCUUGUCUGUAAAUGAAGAGAUGAGACUGGGAGGUCUCCAAGGUCUCUACCCACCCUGAUGUGCUAAUGUUUCUGUGGUUCUCUCUGUGCACCCUUCUGCCUAAGGUCACUCAUCCUGAACACCAAGGACAAGACAGCGAAGUGUGGAUUAUGCAUGAUAAAUCUUAAAUACUUAAAUGCCUUUAGGCCAGAUGAUAUUUCCAUGGAGUUUAUUUUGAAAUUUCAAACAACAGCCAAUUCCAGUGUAAUAUACAUUAUUCAAAUCUCUCUCUCUCUCUCCCUCCUCUCUCUCUCUCUCUCUUUCUCGCACACACACACAUACACACACACACACACGAUGGGAGACUACCAAGUUCCAUUUUUGAAACUACCACUAUCUGUCAAAACACUACAAUUCUAAAAUUAUACAAAGAAGAACAUUCAUGCAAAGCUGUAAAUUGAAGUCAGGAGUCCAUUAAAGAUCUAGAAAGGAAAAUUCAUAGAAGCCCUAAAUACAAUAGUGNNNNNNNNNNNNNNNNNNNNNNNNNNNNNNNNNNNNNNNNNNNNNNNNNNNNNNNNNNNNNNNNNNNNNNNNNNNNNNNNNNNNNNNNNNNNNNNNNNNNNNNNNNNNNNNNNNNNNNNNNNNNNNNNNNNNNNNNNNNNNNNNNNNNNNNNNNNNNNNNNNNNNNNNNNNNNNNNNNNNNNNNNNNNNNNNNNNNNNNNNNNNNNNNNNNNNNNNNNNNNNNNNNNNNNNNNNNNNNNNNNNNNNNNNNNNNNNNNNNNNNNNNNNNNNNNNNNNNNNNNNNNNNNNNNNNNNNNNNNNNNNNNNNNNNNNNNNNNNNNNNNNNNNNNNNNNNNNNNNNNNNNNNNNNNNNNNNNNNNNNNNNNNNNNNNNNNNNNNNNNNNNNNNNNNNNNNNNNNNNNNNNNNNNNNNNNNNNNNNNNNNNNNNNNNNNNNNNNNNNNNNNNNNNNNNNNNNNNNNNNNNNNNNNNNNNNNNNNNNNNNNNNNNNNNNNNNNNNNNNNNNNNNNNNNNNNNNNNNNNNNNNNNNNNNNNNNNNNNNNNNNNNNNNNNNNNNNNNNNNNNNNNNNNNNNNNNNNNNNNNNNNNNNNNNNNNNNNNNNNNNNNNNNNNNNNNNNNNNNNNNNNNNNNNNNNNNNNNNNNNNNNNNNNNNNNNNNNNNNNNNNNNNNNNNNNNNNNNNNNNNNNNNNNNNNNNNNNNNNNNNNNNNNNNNNNNNNNNNNNNNNNNNNNNNNNNNNNNNNNNNNNNNNNNNNNNNNNNNNNNNNNNNNNNNNNNNNNNNNNNNNNNNNNNNNNNNNNNNNNNNNNNNNNNNNNNNNNNNNNNNNNNNNNNNNNNNNNNNNNNNNNNNNNNNNNNNNNNNNNNNNNNNNNNNNNNNNNNNNNNNNNNNNNNNNNNNNNNNNNNNNNNNNNNNNNNNNNNNNNNNNNNNNNNNNNNNNNNNNNNNNNNNNNNNNNNNNNNNNNNNNNNNNNNNNNNNNNNNNNNNNNNNNNNNNNNNNNNNNNNNNNNNNNNNNNNNNNNNNNNNNNNNNNNNNNNNNNNNNNNNNNNNNNNNNNNNNNNNNNNNNNNNNNNNNNNNNNNNNNNNNNNNNNNNNNNNNNNNNNNNNNNNNNNNNNNNNNNNNNNNNNNNNNNNNNNNNNNNNNNNNNNNNNNNNNNNNNNNNNNNNNNNNNNNNNNNNNNNNNNNNNNNNNNNNNNNNNNNNNNNNNNNNNNNNNNNNNNNNNNNNNNNNNNNNNNNNNNNNNNNNNNNNNNNNNNNNNNNNNNNNNNNNNNNNNNNNNNNNNNNNNNNNNNNNNNNNNNNNNNNNNNNNNNNNNNNNNNNNNNNNNNNNNNNNNNNNNNNNNNNNNNNNNNNNNNNNNNNNNNNNNNNNNNNNNNNNNNNNNNNNNNNNNNNNNNNNNNNNNNNNNNNNNNNNNNNNNNNNNNNNNNNNNNNNNNNNNNNNNNNNNNNNNNNNNNNNNNNNNNNNNNNNNNNNNNNNNNNNNNNNNNNNNNNNNNNNNNNNNNNNNNNNNNNNNNNNNNNNNNNNNNNNNNNNNNNNNNNNNNNNNNNNNNNNNNNNNNNNNNNNNNNNNNNNNNNNNNNNNNNNNNNNNNNNNNNNNNNNNNNNNNNNNNNNNNNNNNNNNNNNNNNNNNNNNNNNNNNNNNNNNNNNNNNNNNNNNNNNNNNNNNNNNNNNNNNNNNNNNNNNNNNNNNNNNNNNNNNNNNNNNNNNNNNNNNNNNNNNNNNNNNNNNNNNNNNNNNNNNNNNNNNNNNNNNNNNNNNNNNNNNNNNNNNNNNNNNNNNNNNNNNNNNNNNNNNNNNNNNNNNNNNNNNNNNNNNNNNNNNNNNNNNNNNNNNNNNNNNNNNNNNNNNNNNNNNNNNNNNNNNNNNNNNNNNNNNNNNNNNNNNNNNNNNNNNNNNNNNNNNNNNNNNNNNNNNNNNNNNNNNNNNNNNNNNNNNNNNNNNNNNNNNNNNNNNNNNNNNNNNNNNNNNNNNNNNNNNNNNNNNNNNNNNNNNNNNNNNNNNNNNNNNNNNNNNNNNNNNNNNNNNNNNNNNNNNNNNNNNNNNNNNNNNNNNNNNNNNNNNNNNNNNNNNNNNNNNNNNNNNNNNNNNNNNNNNNNNNNNNNNNNNNNNNNNNNNNNNNNNNNNNNNNNNNNNNNNNNNNNNNNNNNNNNNNNNNNNNNNNNNNNNNNNNNNNNNNNNNNNNNNNNNNNNNNUUGGGUGACAUCCUAUGAACCAAGUAGACCUUUUAAGGUGAUCCAGUUUCCACAGCACUCCUCCCUCCCUCUUAGCAUGUGCUUAUCCCCAAUAUCUCACGGUUUUGCUGUCAUGUAUGCUAAAACUCAGAAAGCAGUGUUAGAGAGAAGAGUAAGUUGCAUAACUCCCUAAAAAAGGAGAAUUGAACAUUCAGGAGUUUUAGAACAGUGGAACUAUUCCGUAUGACACUAUAAUGCUGGAUACACGUUUGAAAAAACCCAUGUAAUGGACAUUACCAAGGGUGAGGCCUCAUGUGAACCAAGGACUUGGGGUGAACCAUGGACUUAGAGUGAGAAUGAGGUAUUUGUGUUGGCUCAUGGACUGUAACAAAUGCACCCCUCUGGGGGGACAUGGAUGGUGAGGAAAGGCUGUGUAUGUGGGAGGCCAGGGGAAUAGGGGAGCUCUCUGCACUUUCUGCUCAGUUUUGCAGUGAACCUAAAAUUGCUCCUAAAUAAAUAAAGUUUAUUUUAAAAAUAAAGAAGAGUUUGGAACUCUGCUUCAAAACAUAUUGUUUUUUGGUUUAUGGUUUUUUUUUUUUUUUUAUCCCAGCUAUCGGAGAGUAGUGAAACAAAACAGAGCCCUGGGGAAUAAUCUCAUCUCCUUUACAGGUCACUCCCUUUCACAGGAGGCUUAGAGGCAUCCGGUCCUCAGUUCCUGGGUCUCCUCACACACUCUUCUCACUGUCUCUUCCCUACUGAUGACGUCUGUUUAUCCUUAUCUAACCCAGAAUUAUCUCUUAAAUUCCAGGCUCUUCCAUCCAAAGGAUCCAAGAAGUCUGCCUUCAAAUGUCCCUUAGGAAUUUCAACAUCAACUUGCCCCAAAUGGAAACCAUUAACUCCUCACCCCAACUCCUUCCUCCAUAUUCUGACCUUUAAGUAAAAGAGGUACAACCGAUGGUCUGUAUGGACUAGAGCUGUAGCUACCCUCUGAAAUCUUCCCACCGAAAUAGCAAUAGUCCCACUCUCCUGAACUGUAGCACAUUGAAUACUCUCAAUACUAAGGAUACCUGUGUUCUUCCUAAAAAUCCAAUAAAAUUACGUUACAAUAAAAGGAUUAAAAAAAAAAAGUAUGAACGAUCAAGGACAAAUCCACCAUGGAGAGAGGACAACUACACAACCUCAGAAGACGGAAAGUAGAAACUAGUUUGACCAACUAAAGAAACCUUGAACCCAGGCUGGCAAUGGGAAAAACCCAGAACAUGUUGAUUAACAAGGAUGAACCCCAGAAGAGCUCAAGAAGGAAGGCGCCAGGCACCCCUUGAAGACACAGUCGAAUAAAUCACAUUUCAGACAAUGGGAGGUCUCAUUAGCACAGCCUUCUGGCUCAUGCUUUCUGUUGGAAAGCGUGGAGAGACUGUGCUCCACCAAAGCAAAAGAGGAAGCCAAAAACUGACGACCUGGGAUUUAAUGAAGGAGGGAAGCUCAGGGCUUGGGGCGUCCUGAGCUGUUGAUGAAGGAAUGAAUAUCCCAGCACUUGGAAGUCAAAGAAUUUGCUUGAAAUCACACGACUCAUCUAGUGAGUGUUGAAGCUAGGAAACCAAACCCAGGCAUGUUGGAUGCGAAGGCCACAACGGAACAUUUCUGUAAUUGUGGAAUUCUAGGCUGCAGGAUGCCUACUGCAGAUAGAAACAGCUCCAAGACACAAGCUUACAAUGAGAAUGAAAGGAGAUAGCGCCCAAUUCAGUGCCUAGCACACGGGAACCUAGCUAUUGCUGUCUUCUAGUUAAAAAUAUACACCGUAAUUGUUGCCUCUACCAAAUGUUCUGUAAAGGAUUAGUAUUUUAGCUGGACCUGGAAAGGUAAUAAUUUUGGUGGUCGGUAUCCUAGUCAGCUUGGGAGACUAUAACAAAAUCCCAUGGACUCAGUGACAUAAACAACAGAUAGCCACUUCUCAUAGUUCUGAAGUCUGGGAUAUGCAGGACCAACGUUUUGGCAUGUUCAGUUCCUGGUGGGGGUUUCUCUUCCCGCUAUCCAGAUGGCCACCUUCUCACUGUGUCCUCACAUGGCAGAAAAAGAGAGAGAGAGGAGAGAGAGAGAGAGAGAGAGAGAGAGAGAGAGAGAGAGAGAGAGAAAGAUACACAGACAGACUAACCCCAUCUUGGGAAUCCCAACCUCAUGACCUCAUCUAUGCCUAAUCGCCCACCUCCAAAUAUGGUAGCACCCCUCAUCCAUGAGGGAUAUAUUCUAAGACCUCCAAUUGGUACCUAAAUCCAAGGACAGUACUGAACUAUAUGCAUAUUCUGUUUUUCCAAUACAUAGAUAUCUAUAAUAAAAAUUUAAUUUAUAAAUUAGGCAGAGUAAGAGAUUAACAAUAACUAAUAAUAAAGUAAUACUAUAUUGUAAUGUAAAUUAUGUGUUUCUCCUCUCUUAAAAUAUGUUAUUGUACCGUGCUCACCCUUCUUCCUGUAAUGAUGCGAGAUCAUGCAGUGCCUAGGUGACGAGAUGAAGUGAGGUGAGGGGCGCAGGUGUUGUGACAUAGCAUCAGGCAAGGAGGAUCAUGGAGCCAUGAAGACGCAGGUAGUGAAACUGCACAGGGGGGAAGACUGCGCCAGCACAUUGGAGGUUAGGACUUCAACCUAAGAAGGAGGGACAAGGUUAACAAAGGAAGAGAAGACAACAAAGAUGUCCACUUUGACCAUUUGUCAAAGGAUCCAGUUGCAAACCAACUACAGUUCAGCAUUUGCCAGAAGUUUGCUUAAAAUAUUUGAGAUUUAGAGGAAAUAUAUCAUCUCUCCAUUUCUCUAGUUUCUGUAAGCCCUAUCCCUGAAGUAAAUUAGAUCAUCAGAAAGGAAUAAACCUGCACUCUAUUAUCUUAACUCCCCACAGACUAACUUGCAUAGGAUUAAGAUUAAUGCAAUGUCCUUAAACCAUGGAGAAGAGAAAUAAAUCAUCAGCUUGAAGAAUAUUUUCUUAUCUUGUGCAAAAUCAUAGUUGUAGACAACAUGUACCAUGUUACCCACCUUUAAAGGGUCUGAAAAAGACUUUGUCCCUAGAUAAAUUUGUACGCUUGCUUUUAUCAUGCAAUGACAACUUCAUAACCCAGUGCCAGGAGAAGAUGUAGUGCUCAACAGCAGUGAUUUAAUUUGUACCAAAUGGUUAAAGACAGCUCUUUUCUCCUUGCAAAUAUUUUUAAAAUAAAUGAGUUUGUCUUAUCCUUAAAAAUAUUGUGUGUUAUUUUUAAACAGAUUAGUUUUAGACAAAUAAAAGUGAAAAUAUGAUUGAAUUCUGGCAUAACACAAGUGUCAGAAAGUAAUGAAAAUCAUAUUACCUGAUAGAAUACGAUUUGGGGACACCUUAUAUUUAAUGAAAUCUAUGCAUCUUUGUGAGGAGGAGAUUUAAAAUACCAGCUAAUUUGUUUACUAAACUUUUUUUAAAAUAUUUUUUUAGUUGUAGAUGGACACGAUAUAUUUAUUUAUUUAUUUUUACGUGGUGCUGAUGAUCGAACCCAGUACCUCACAUGUGUGAGGCAAGUGCUGUACCACUGAGCCACUGUUUACUAAACUUUUAACAGAAAUAUGUGGAAAAUACUGGUGGAAGUAUUCAGUAGGGCAAAUUUAACUAUUAGAAGACAUUGUUUUUAUGCAUGAGGAAAAUCUUUUAAUAUCCCGUUUAAACAUUUCACCAUCAUUAGUCAGUAUUAGCUAGGUUAGACUGCAGUAGUAAUAAACAACCCCAACCUCUUAGGGGCUUAAAGCAUGAAAAGUUUCUUUCUUUCUUUUUUUUUUAAUAAUUUUUAGUUGUCAAUGGACUUCUUUUUUAUUUAUUUAUAUGUGGUGCUGAGAAACGAACCCAGUGCCUCACAUAUGAUAGGCAGACGCUUUACCACUGAGCCACCACUCCAGCCCCCCAAAAACUUAUUUCUUAUUUCCACACGUCCCUCUUGGGUGGGCAGGGUUUCCAGUCUACAUUGUCCUCACUGGUCUGUAGCAAUUCUAAAUCCAACACAGCAGAUAUUCCACAGUCUCCUACUUGAAGAUAGGAAAAGUUCCUUGCUUGGGUCUCAAUCCUGCCCUAACAAAGGCUUUCUUAUCCAGGCACCCUCCUGAAGCCUGGCCCAGCACCUGGACAAGCCUCUCACUAUUCUCUGGAGCUGCUUUUCAAAUGGAUGCUAUGGUCUGAAUGGUUCAUUUGCUAUGCUCCUUUUCUCAGAACUUUGGCAACCACUGUUGUUCUAGAAGAUGGAGUUUAUACCAGUCUAGGUCCCUAAGUGAGGACAAUGUAGACUGGAAACCUUGCCCACCCAAGAUGGACAUGUGGAAAUAAGAAAUAAGCUUUUCAUGUUAUAAGCCCCUAAGAGGUUGGGGUUGUUUGUUACUUCAGUCUAACCUAGCUAAUACUGACUAAUGAUAGUCCAGAUUCCUAUGUUGAAAUCCUGACCCUUAAGGUGAUGGCAUGAGGGGCAAAGCCUUUGGGAGGUGGUUAGGAUGUGAAGGUAGAGCACUUGUGAAUGGAAUUAGUGCCCUGAGAAGGAAGGUUCCAGAGAGCUCAUGCACCAUCAGCAGAUGCAUCUAGAAGACACCAUGUAAGUACAGGAAACAGGCCACUACUGCAUACUGAACCUGUUAGAAACUAUAGCUUCUGCAACUAUAUGAAAUAGAUUUCUGUUGCUCUUACAGUUAAUGGCAUUUUGCUAUAACAACCGAAUGGACUAAGACAAGAGCUGUAAAAUGUGUCCUUCUCUGGGACAGGCAUCUUUCUCAAUCCACUUCCUGCUCUUGUGAUUGGAGUCCCCAAGUAAUUUACAUUUUCAACCAUUACCCUCUGUCUGUCCCAAUUGAUGGACAUUUCUUUUGUCAAUACAACUCUGUCAAAAACAGAGCUUCUUUUGUGUUUUAUUCUAAUCAGCCAAUAGCCACAGUUCCUUUUGAGGCAUGAUUCACAUAUUUAUGUUGCUUUUCUUUCUUGUUCCCAGGUCUCUCUCAAUUUAAUUUCGAUUCCCUGAAGAUAUGAGGCUUUAGGAGGAGUUACAUUUUCAGUCUCUUUUCCCUAAACCAUUUUGUUUAGGUGAAAGGGUACUUUUUCUUUUGAACACCACACCAUUAUCUGAACUGUUACUCGGAGACAUCUUGAUACAGGUUUUAACAAUUGAUAUGAUGAUGGCACCCUGAAUUUGUCCCUUGAUACACGACCGAGUUUUCAUUGAUCCCUGUUGCUGCUGUUUAGGACUGAGUCUUAUUUCAGGCUUAUCAGUCCCUGAAUUCUGUUUUUUUUUACAUUCCUGCUUGAAAAUGCAUCCAUUUCUUUCUAAACUCACCUCUUUCUUGUAACAUCUUGCCAAAAUAACCACCAGCACAUGCUACUAACAAUAAUCAUCUCUCCCAAUCUUCUCCCCUAGAGGCAUGAGCUCAUCCAGAACACAAUCUGCAUCCUAAAUUCCUGCAGGCACAGCCUCUUGCUGCCCCCUCCCUCCUUUAUGGCCCUUAUCAAGACAGCAAUUCAUUUCAAUAUCCUAAUUUCUGUAUUAUUUAUCACAUAUGUGGUUAUGUUACAGGGAAAAAACCAUCCCAACAUCUCAGUAGCCUAGAACAAAUUAUUGUUUUUCUCUCUUGCUACAUGUUCAGUACAGGUCAGUGAAGGUAGCUUCAUUCCAGGACCCAACACGACAGAACCUCAACCAGGUGGAGCAUCACCAGUUGCCAUGGAAGGCGGAGGAGAACAUGAAAAAUUGUGAAUCUGUCCAAAGGUGACACGUUAUUUCUGCUUACAUUUCAUUGGCUAAAACUUGUCAUUUUGUCAAUCCUAACUUGAUGGGGAAGCCAAAUCUUAUCACGUCUCCAAAAGGAGGAUUGACAGUAUUGGUAAGCAGUGCCAACCACUCCCAGGACGCCCACUUGAUAAAACUGCAAGUAAGUGUGGACCUUCCCCCACAUACUGUAUGUUGGUCUUGCAGUCUCCAGGGCUGGCAGAGUCUACAUUCUUAACCUUCCUGUAUCUCCAAAACAUUAAAGAGACUGAAAUUUAAUUCUCAGAGCUUCCAAUUUCAAGUGAAUGUUAUUGGCAUUGUUGACACAUUAAAGAGAAAAGGGGUAAAAUGGAAAGGAGUGUUCACACACAGGUACCAAAAUGGAGCAACCCAGGGUAUAUUUCCUUUGUAAACGUCACAGCACAAGUUUGCCUGUGCAUCGAUAUGUUUAUAUUUUUGAAACCAAGUGGGUCUUCUCUACACUCCAAAGCAAAGAUGAGCAUUAGUGAUUUUAGACAAAGAUGUCUAAAAUCAAGACAGAUCGACCCAGCCCAACGGUACGGAAUACAAUAUGAUCCGAGCCUCAGUUUUGCAUUGGUUGUCUGGUUACUCAAUAAAUAUUUGAUUGAUGGAGUAAUCCCAUGGCCCAGACAAAGACUGUGGCCACAGAAGGGAAAACAAUAGGCCAGAUGAAAACAGAGAUUCCAUUCCAACCCAUUUGGCCACAGUGUCAGAAGUUUAGUUAUAAAACUGGAAGUGUUUGUUCAAGGUUGAUGCUGGAACAAAGUGAGGCACUAUUUAUAAACUUUGAGGAGAUUCUCUAGAUAAAAUGUUUUUAAAUCGGCUUUUGGAAAGUGAGUGGCUUUGUUCAUGUUAUUGUCCAAACACUCUUUGAUCCCUUAAUUUCACAUUUCCUUUGAUUUUUUCCAAACAUUCAACAGAGAAAGUUCAUUUUUUCUUAAUAUGGUGAGCAGCACCAAUAGCUUGCUCAUGAUGGAGAGACCUUCUGAGUACAGUGUCACAGUAUCCCACGGUGCUCUCUGUAUCCCUGAGCCUCACCUUCUGUGAAGACAUUGAAGGCAAAAAUGUCUUCUUCACAUGGGCACACAUGACAAAUGGCCCUGACCACACCAGAGCUGGCCUUACUAAGGACAGGUCUAGGAAGGAUGCUCUCAGAAACUUCUGCAAUUGCUUUCAGAGCCUUCCUUGCUCCCGCCACCCCCACCCCAUGGUGACCCUUUUGCUAAGGCAAAGCUCCACAAACUGGAACAUACCAGGGCAGAGCAAGGACCUCUUUGUGCCAAUAUAAAGUAGUUUAUUAUUUGUGGCUAGGGUUUUUUAAAGUAAUAAUAAGAAUUGGUCCAGCCACAUUCAUAAGUACUGGCAAGGUUGGGAUUUCAACAGAUCUUUUCGAAAGUCACAAUUAGACCUACAGUAGCUGGCCUUGAAGGAUGAAUAAAUGCCCCUCAGCUGAAUGAAGCAUCUACAUGGACUCUGAUCUCUUUGCACAAGGGAACGUACAGUUACCAAGGUCUGUGUAUGAACAACAAAACAGCAGCUCACCCCAUAGUCCAUCUAGAAUGUUCAGCUAUUUCAAUGAAUUCCUUAGCUUUAAGGCAUGAGCUCUGCAGGCCUUGGCCAUUAGUAAUGGUCCCAGGUGAUCUGCUUGGUAGUCAAUGUAAAUGUUAUUUAAAGCUGGACAUGUUGGUGUAUGCCUGUGAUCCCAGCAGCUCAGGAGGCUGAGGCAAGAAGAUUGCAAGUUCAAAGCCAGGCUCAGCAACUUAGUGAGAGACUUAGCAAAUCAGCAAGACCCUGUCUCUAAAUAAAAUACAAAAAGGGCUGGGGAUGUGGCUCAGUGGUUAAGCGUCCGGUACCAAACAAACAAACAAAAAAAGAAUUAUCUAAGCCCUGGUAUCAGAGCCAUCUGAUCCAUCCUCCUGCCUGCAGAAAGGGCCACAUCAACCACAAACUGGAGAAAUAAGACUAGACAUUUUUUAAAGAUCUUCUCAUCUCUAUACAUCCAUGUGAGUUGGUUACAAAAACAAGCAGUCAUCCAAAAGUACAAAGAAAUUUAAUAUAUAGUAAGAGUGGCAUUUUAAAUCCUUGAGGGAAGGUACUUUAUAAAAGGGGGAUGUUGGGACACAUUGGCAAAGUAAAAAAAAGAGUGAGAACACUCCAAAUUCCAGGCUGAUCAAACAUUAAAUUUAAAAGACUAACCAUAAAAGAAUAAUAAAAAAAAACAAUGUGGGGAUAGAGAUGUGGCUAAGAGGUACAGUGCUUGCCUGGCAUGCAUGAAGCCCCAGAUCUGACCCCCAGAACUGCAAAACGAAAACAAAAUAACAAAAACAUGCAACAGUUUAAUAAUCUCAAGAAAAGGGAAGACCUUUCUAAGUAUAAAAUUAAAACCCAAAUAAGGGCUGGGGAUGCAGCUCAGUGGUAGAGGACUUACUACAUGUGUGAGACCCUGAGCUGGAUACCCAGCACCAAAAACAAACAAGUCCCCCAAAUAAGAAAAGGUUGCAUGUCAAAAAUCAUCGUAAAGCAAAGUCAAAAGAGAAAUGACACACUGGAAAAAAGUUGCAACUCACAUCUCAAAGGGCUCACUGACCCAAUAAAUAAAAAGCUCCUACAAAUCAGUUUUCAAAGACCAAUAACUCCAUGGGAAAAUGGAUCAAGUAUAAGGUGACAAUUCACAGAGAAGAAAAUCAGAAGAAGGGGCUGGGGCUGUAGCUCAGUGGCAAAGCACUUGCCCAGCAUGUGGGAGUGGGAGGCCCUGGAGUCAAUCCCAACAGACACACACACACACACACACACACACACACACACACUGAAGUUAUUAGCUCACUCACAAUGAGAGAAAUGCAAAAUAAAAAUACCAUACAUUUUACCUAUCAAAUUAGCAGUAACAAAAAGUCCCCUGAUAAUGCAGUUUGUUGGUGUGUGAAGAAAAGUGCACUCUUAUACAUUAUUCAGUGGGAUGGAAAUUGCUAAAGCUUGUGAUAAUGAUUAAAAUAUUCCUUAAUCACUCGGUUUGGUGGUGCUUGCCUGUAAUCCUAGUGACUCAGGAGGCUGAGGCAGGAGGUUUGCAAUUUCAAGGCCAGCCUCAGCAAUUUAUUGAGACCCCUUCAAAAUAAAAAAUAAAAAGGGCUGGGGAUGUAAUUCAGUGGGUAAGCACUCUGGCUGUUUUUCAAUCCCUAGUACCCAAACCAACAAACAAGGCCUUUCUCUUCCAUUUUAAAUAGAGCCCUAAUAUCCAGAGUAUACAAAGAACUCAAAAAAUUAAACAAUAAGAAAACAAAUAACCCAAUCAACAAAUGGGCCAAGGACCUGAACAGACACUUCUCAGAGGAGGACAUACAAUCAAUCAAUAAGUACAUGAAAAAAUGCUCACCAUCUCUAGCAGUCAGAGAAAUGCAAAUCAAAACCACCCUAAGAUACCAUCUCNAGGGGGGAUAGUAGAGGAUGGGAAAGGCAGCAGAAUACAACAGACACUAGUAUGGCAAUAUGUAAAACAGUGGAUGUGUAACCGAUGUGAUGCUGCAAUCUGUAUAUGGGGUAAAAAUGGGAGUUCGUAACCCACUUGAAUCGAAGUGUGAAAUAUGAUAUGUCAAGAACUAUGUAAUGUUUUGGACAACCAACAAUAAAAAUUAAAGAAAAAUAUAAAAAAAAUUAAAACUUGCAAUAUUUAAGUAUUUUGCAUACUUACAUUUUAAAGCCAGGUAGUAAAAUUCAUUAAUUUCUUUCUCAACUGAGCACUCAAUGAAUGAGGUCUUAACUUUUGAAUCCUCACCCCCACUUGGUGAGAACGUACAAUAACUUUAUGUUCAUACCUUUUGAGUGAUAAAUUGGCCUCUUGAAAGAUGGGUUUAUUCUCACGUAAACUCUCUCACAAAAGAAGAUGCCUCUUAUUUUUCUCACGUUAGGCCUGCCCUCUAUUCUCUCCACCCUCACACACACAUAACAAGGAUGGAACCUUCAGCUACCCUUAACCCCUCGGUGGCCACACGUCACCAAAUCCCUCAGAUCCCACCUCGGAAUCUCUGGGCUUUCUCUUUACAUCUCUAGGAGUACCAAGGGCCUUGAGCACAAGGCUGUCCUCACUACCGCUAGAUGUCACCCUCACCUAAACUAACAAGCAGUGCUUUACCUAAGAACUCUGUCCGUCCUCGUGUCCUCGUGGACCCUGGAACAGCUGGUUAACUCCAAAGAGCAAAGUUCUAACCACAACUGCAGUCUCUAGGGACAACAGGCAGGAAAAGGAAGACUUCGGGGGUCUGGCUAGAAGGGAGGGCUCCAAAAAAUGAAAGAAUGCUGUGCGUUGGAAUCUGAGAUUAUCACUCAGUUUGUGGCAAAAUGGAUCUGGAUAAAGUAAGGAAACAAGAGAAGCAAAGGUCCUGGGAGAAGCCGAGACACAGGUGCAAGCGGCCUGAGGCAGAGAGAGUUAGUGGUGAGUAGGGAGGAGACUGCGAAGAUAGAUAUUGCAGGGCCUUGGGGGGCUUGGUAAAGUGUGUAAAAUUCAUUCUGAAUUUAAAAAUAAAGAAGAAAGAAAUAUGAGAAGCGUUCAUAACUUCUGGGUUUUCACAUAAGGGCCCCUAAAAAUCUACUUGAGUAUAAUCACAAGGAAACAUCAGAAAAACCCAAAUGGAAGAGCUUUCCAUAAAAUAAGUGGCCUUGAGUGUUAUUAAAAAUGUCAAUAUUAUAAAGUCAAAGGGAAGCUGGAAAACCCUUCCAGAGUAAGGACAUUGCAGGACAACUGAAUGCAGUAGUGAUCCUGGGCUCACAGGGAGAACAAAGCACUCAAAGGGGCCACGGACAAUGUGGGAAUAUAGAUGUAGGUUAGAUGAAAUUACGGUGAAUCUCCUGGAGUCGACGUCUGUGGUGUGGGCAGGUAAGGUAACCUAUUUUGAGGGAAUUCACAAUGAAGUUUUAAAGGGUUAAGGGGGAGGCUUGUGGGCCUCUAAACACCCUUAGGCAUCGGGAAACCAGCAAAUUGCUAUAUUCAUGUGACACAUUUGACCAUUUAGCCACCAAACCAAAGGGGAUAAGGACCUCACCAAGAAGACUAGAAAUCUAAAGUCACUUUUACAAACCUCAUUGUCCACAACCCUGUUCUAUUUCUGCUGAUUUUUGUACUCCAUCCCUGUUAUGGUUUAGAUGUGGUGUCCUCCAAAAGCUCACGUAUAGAAAAUGCAAGAAGGUUCAGAGGAGAAAUGACUGGGUUGUAAGAGUCUUAACCCAAUCAGUGGAUUAAUCCCUUGAUAGGGAUUAACUGAGUGGUAACUGAAGAGCUAGGUGUGGCUGGAGGAGGUGGGAAUUGGGCUGUGGCUUUGGGGUAUGUAUUUUGUAUCUGGAGAGUGGAGACCAUCUCUCUGUCCUUCUGAUCAUGAUGUGAGCUGCUUCCCUCUGCCACACUCUUCUGCCAUGAAGUUGGGCCUCACCUAAAGCCCUGAGAAAUGGGGCCAGCCUUCUACGGACUAAGACCUCUGAAGCUGUGAGCCCUCAAAUAAACUUUUCUUCCUCUAUAAUGGCGCUGGUCAGAUGCUUUCAGUCACAGCAGAAAAAAAAAAAAAAAGCUGAUGAAAACAAUCCCCAAAGCAGUUUCUGUGGUUUCUGCAUCUCUGGAGAACCUUCAGAAGAACACUCGGGAGGCUUCAAGAGUGCUUCCCAUCUGAACAGAGGACAGUCACCCUUAGAUAAUGUGAUAAACUCUGCUCAGAUACGGAAAUGGCCUCAAGGUUCUCCAUAACUCACAUCCCGAAGAGCACUGGCCUUUUGGCAAGAAAAUCAUUCCCAGAAUGUAAUCCUUGCACUUAGAGAAAGGCGGCUCAAAAAUGUGACAAGAGAUUAAGCCUGGACGAAGCAAUGGAAAUAGAUGGCAAUGGUUUAGAGUCCACAUUUGGUGUGUUUGCUAAACACGGAUGCUGGAAGGCAUGGGAAAUGUAAUGGACAAGGAAGCUGGUGUGAGCUGGAAUGGCCACACUUCAGCACCCAUUAAUCAACUAGCAUUUUUAUGGGCACCAAUCCUAGGCAAGAUGGUGCACUGAGCGGUGUGAUCCGCAUGGAGAUCACUUCCACAUCUGUCUGCCUGAUUUGUGAACCUUCCACUAGAGGACCUCAGUGAAGUUCAGGGAAGGUCCAGAAAGGGACUGAGAUUCAAUUUUAUUUUAUUUCUAAAAUGCUUACAUCUGGGGAGGCAUGACUGACAACAUCCCUGAGGAACUAGAAGUCCUGUCGACCACAGAGCAAGCUGCACGGGCUGUUAGCUUUCCAAAGAAAACAGCAGCAGCCGUAUCAAGUGGGCACAGCCCUUGUGCUUCGGAAAUUAUGUAAAAAAAAAAAAUAGAAGCAAAUCCAAUAAAAGAUUAUGAUAGUGUAAAACAGUGUGAAAGGGUUCUUACUAAGAGAAGGCUGGAGAGAUUAAGAUUACAUUGUCUGAGGAGAACAAUACUCCAUUGCUGUCCCCCCUUGUGUGAUGGAUCACUGAAGGCGGAGGGUUCUGGCCUGGUUGCUCUCCAGCUUUACUGAGAUAUAAACAGAAGAAAUUUUUACAGAAUUUUUAAUCAAACUUUUGGAUGUUUUGAUCUUGGAAAAUCAAACCCAGAAAUGAGCUGCAAUGGUUUCUGUGGUUUCCGGGUUCCAAGAGGACUUUCAAAUGAAAACACAAUCACCUCCUCUGCACCACUUAGUCAGGCUUCUCGCCUGAACAGACAGUGGCCACCCACGGAUGAGGGUGCUACGGGGCAAUAAGCCAAGCGUGCCAGGGAGCCACCUUAGCCCCUCCUUCCAGAUCUAUCCAUUCAAGGCCUCGAUCAAACUGUAAAUAGGAUUCAUGGGAUGAUACAUUAACACCCCAUCUCAUUAAAUUAUCCAAUUAGUAAAUCACCUACGGGGAACCUUAGUUAAUGAGGGACAAAACAAGUAAGUUUUGACUCCAGAGGCAGAGUGGGGAGGUCCCUGGGACCUGAGAAAGUCCAGAACAAGUGUUUUGGUGGUAGAGAAGGAAGGAGGAAACUGGAAUUCUUCUGGAGAGGAAACCUCCAGCUGGGCUGCCGUGAUUUGCAACUUCAGAGUGGGGAGCAUCUGGGCUUGGCUUCUCCAGUCAUGGGCCUACAUCCCUCUCUCCCUCCCUCUCCUUCUCUCCCUUCUACAAUUCUUUCUUCAGUGAUCACCAGGCAUGGUUAGGGCUCAAGGCCCUGGGCUGGAUUUAGAAGGUCUGCACGCAUGCUAGCUCCCUUAAAUUUCUCAAAGGGAAAUGCUAUUAUUUGUGUACUGCACAGAGUCAAAUAAAUCAUUUCACCUCCUUUAGUUCACAGGGACUCUCUGGAACAAAGAGAAUGCUGCAGGAAAAACCCUCAUCCCCGAGACCCUCAGCUGCAGAGGAAGUGAUCCUUCAGGCCGCAUCCUUCAGACCCUCGUGUCCCCAUAAAUGGAACCCACAUGAUCCGGCCAGAUGGGCACUCACCUUUAACUGUCAGGACUACCUGCAGUUGAUAGCCACUUUGUCUGAUUCACUGUCAUAGUUUAUUAACCUUUUUUCUUAAGUCCAGAGAGCCUAUUGUUUGCUUUUGUCAACUACAGG
rnacentral:lncRNA from 1 species